CGUUCUCCUUGCUCCUUUUGGUACAACUUCUUAAGUAAUGGACAAUCACGAAUUGACAAAGUAGACAGGGAUCUGGGUAGACCCUCAUCUGGCAAGCUCUCAAGACAAGGGCAAUCAUCAAUAUAUAGAGAUUCAAGUGAAGUGAGGUGGAAAAGACCGUUGUAGUUUAUUUUUCUUAGGUUGGAACAAUUUGUCAACUCAAGAGAGGUAAUACUUGAUGGCAGCAUAGUCUCCUUUGGCAAGAAUGCGAAGAUUUCAAAAUCAUCACUAAGACUUAAUUGUUUCAGAGAUUUGAGUUUGAACAAACCCCACUCCUCUAUUGAAGCCAUCAAAUUAGGGCAUCUUUCUAUCCGGAGGCUGCCUAGGUUGCAAGGCAACUGCCUCCCAAAAAACGAUUCCAGCAAUGGACAAUCGUACAACACGAGAGAAUUAAGAUUGUUGAAUACGUGUAGUGCAAAAGGCAAGGAAGAAGAGUGCCAACCUGUUAUAGUUAAAGUGCGAAGGGAAUAACAGCUACACAUAUACAAAGAGAACCAUUCCAUAUUUCGACCAAAGAAGUCUUCAACUUCCAACUCUUUAAGAAAGGCACUAUUAAUUAGAACUUUCUCUAGGGUGGAUUCAAUGACGUGAGUUCCACAAAGGAUGGCCCUUAUCAAGCAUGAUGGCAAUUCAUUUAUCGAAAUGCCAUCACAUCUCUUUAGUUCUAUAUCACUGAUAUUAGCAGCCUUGGGAAUUGAAGCCUCCAACUCUUCGCAAUCAAUAAUUUCCAACUUUUGCAAACAAGGAAGAUGAUGAGGCAGAGCACUUUUCAACUUGGGACAUUGUUUUAGACAAAGCUCUUGAAGCAAAGGGAAACCUUCAAGGCAUAACCAUUCCUUCCAUUCAGACAUAUACUCCACCCGCAAAGUUUCAAGGGAUCUAAAUGCAGCAUAAUUAUAGCCGAAAAACUCUGAACCAAUGUUCUCUAUUCCAUGACAGCCGGAAAUGGAAAGCUUCUUGAGAGAAUGGAACUGCCCAAGUGGUGGCAACUGGGAACAGUGUUUACAUCCAAACAAUUCAAGAGAUACUAAAUUGGGUAGAUGAUGAUCCCCAAGCCAAUUUGGAAAGCUACUACCUCUGUAGUCAUUGAUGGUGAGCCUCAUGAGAUUUCUAUUUGGUUGAAGAGCCUCCAAGACCAAGAGACGUGCUUCAGUUUCUGAGCCUUCCAUUUCUCUCCAUUCAUCGUAUGACAUGAUUAAUUCUUGUAAAUGUUUCUUAUCUUUCAAAUUUGCUGCCAUAGCAUCUGCUGGAUCGGUCACAUUCUUCAACCCUGAAAUUUGAAGCCUUCCUUUAAGGUGGUUAAGUUCUUCCAACAGCUUAAUAUCAUAUCCAUGUUGCUCUCCCACAACAAAAUCAGUCAGCAUCUCAAGAUUGAUUAAUACUCUUAUCUCCUUUGGCAUCUUCUUGAUAUGUGUGCCUUUCAAAUUAAGAUGACGUAAAUUGAUGAGUUUGCCAAAAUUUGAUGGGAGCUCAGUCAAUUUAAAACAUUCUUCCAGUAAGAGCGUAUGCAAAUUAUACAGCAUACAAAUGGAAUUAGGUAAGCUUGUAAUGUCGGUGUAAGAAAGGUCUAGAUAUCGUAGAAGCUUUAAAUUUCUUAUCUCAUCAGCUAGCUCUAAGAGAUUGCAACCAUUGAAAGACAACCUUCGCAAAUAUUUUAGUCUAAAAAACAAAUUAAGCUGAACAUCGGUGCUUAUCUGAAAGCGCUGGUCACCAUAGCCUUGUGCUUCUACCAUCAGACUCUGUAGUCCUUUAAUGUCACGAAUCUGCUUUAGUUUUCUAUCACCAUCUUCCAAAUCAAGGCAGCACCAAAUGUGACGUGUCCUUUGAGGGAUAUCUUGCACGUUAUCACCCUCUAUUCGUAAGUGGGAUUCUCCUGUCAAUGAUUUCGCUAAAUCACUGGCAAGAUCAUGCAUGAUGAAAUAGUACUUACCAGCCCAUAAUGGCAUAAUUGCUGAUUGUUGGAAAAAUGACAUUGACACUAGAUGAUCAAAGAAUUCAUUACCCAACUCUUCUUCAUUUUUGUCUUUUCCGCAACACUUUAGCAAACCUUGUGCCAUCCAAAGCUUGAUUAAUCCAUCCUUUUCAAACUUAUAACCCUUGGGAAAUAUAGAACAAUAUGCAAAACAAUGCUUCAGAUUUGAAGGGAGGUUAAGGUAACUCUGUCUUAGAAAGGAAUAAAUGCUUCUGUCACUCUUAGGUAAACUCCACAAAUCAGUCUCUAAUAUCUUAACCCAUUCAUUUUCAGAGAAUCUUCUUUGCAAGAGAAUCCCCAAUGUUUUUAGAGCAAAAGGCGACCCCCCACAUUUUUCUACUAUUUUCAUACCAAUCGAUUCAAGAUUUGGAUAUUCAAACAUAUUCCUGCCUUCAAAAGCAUGUCUUACAAAUAAACUCCAAGAGUCACUCUCCUCCAAUUGCCUUAAAUGAAGUAUCUGGGUGGAUCUCAUGACUGAUGCAACUUCUUUAUCAUGUGUUGUCACUAUCAUCCUCCCUCGAAAAGAGUCCGGGUUAAAAAUAAGUAGUAACUGCUCCAGCAUAUUCCAAUGUUUGAUCCAUACAUCAUCUAGAACAAGCAAAUAUUUCUUCCCUGCUAGCCGCUGUUGCAAUUGAUGUUUAAGUAUUUCCUUGUCUUCAUCAUAUAAUGUUGAUAAAGAAAUUGACUUGAGAAUUGAUUUCAUGAGAUGACGAUAGUUAAAAGAUUUUGAAACAUGGAUCCAUCCUAUAACUUCAAAUUGAUCCCUCGUCAUGUGGUCAUUAUAAACAAGCUGCGCAAGGGUUGUCUUACCUAUCCCGUUCAGACCCACGAUACUGAUUAUGGGUACCCGGUUGUCACCGUGACUGUAUGAAAGUAAAAAAUCAAUUAUUUCUUCUUUCUCAUGCUCUCUACCAUAUAUGAUAGAUUCAUUCAUGAAUGAUGAAGUUCCAAAAUUGCUGGCUCCAUCUUCAUGAUAACAAUAAUCCUGAUGAAGUUGCAAUCUAUCAUUUUGUUUUGCAAGAACCUUUAGCCUCUUGAUCAAUACUUUAAUCCUAGAUUCAAAUCGAUUGAUAGAACCUGAAAGAAAGCGUUGUAUCUUUCCCUUUUGUUGUGCGGCGUCAGUAGCAAUGACAUCCAACAGUUGCUCUACUUCGUAUAUCUUAUUCCUGAUAUCAUCAACCCAAUUCUUUACGUCUAGAUUUUCGUACUGCUUUGUCUCUGCGUCAUCAAGCACUUUAUUGAUUGAAACCAAUGUGAUUUCAAGUUUUUUCACAUGCUUUUCAUGGAAGUAGUCACUCAAAUCUGUUGAAGCUAAUCUCUCACAAAUCAAUUGAAUGACGGGGGAAAGAAAUGCCCGACGAACAACAACCUCUGCCAUGAUAUCAAUUAAUUCAACAAAACCAAAAUGAUCAGGGAUGCAGACUAUAUGCAAGAUCAGUUUGGUCAACGAAUCCCCACACCUACCAUAUUACCAUGUUGGUGGUAGUUCUGAUAACACAAUUACUAGAUCCGAUGUUGAUGAAGAUGGACAUGGAGAGAAAUGAAUCUUGAGUUGAAUUGAUUGGGUGAAGUUCGGAGAAACGUUAGAGAUGAGGAUGAUUGGAUGGAGUUGUUGAAUUUUCAAUGAUUUUUUUUCUAUACAUCAUACAUUAAAUAAGAUUUAGGGCUAAAGUGCACGCACUUUUUCACCCAUAACUUUCAAAAACUUGCAAUUUUGAUCCCUUAAGUACAAAAAUUACAAUUUUACCCUUAAGAUUUAGUCUCAUUGCAAAUUUGAUCAUUUUGAUCUAGUCGCAUGUCUGUAAUUAAUUAAUUAAAAAAAUUAAAAAACCAAAAAAUGAAUUUUUAAACUAAAUAAAUGAAAAAAGAAUUAAAAAAUCAGAAAAAGAAUUUUUUUCCUUCCUCAUCUUCUUCCUUCCUUCCUCUUCAACAUUAUCUUCCUACAACUUCAUAAAAAAACUCAAAAACAACUAUAUAGGUGAAAUAUUAUUAUAUGAUAUAUAUUCUUUUUCUUCUUCUUAUGAAAACACCCCUAUCACAUAAUUUCCAGAAUCUGCAUAUCCCUCUCUCUUAGCUCUCUCUUUGUUCCGUAAUUUCCACCGAUUUCAAUUUCGGUUCACAUUUACCAUACAUAUAAAUCAAACUAGUUCCCACAAACACAUCCUGAUCCAAACCACACUUCAAAACCGACUCAUGAACCAAUUUUCCAACCAUAACCCCAAGAAAGUUCAUGUCUGCUAACGGUAAACUUCUCUGUCCGAUUUUCCAACUGAACCAGUUUUGCAGCAAUUUGAAGGAAGGGGAAAGUUGGUGAUAGUUCUGAUAGCACAAUUACUAGAUCCGAUGUUGAUGAAGAUGGACAUGGAGAGGGAUGGCUUUCAAAUAUCACAUGAGAGAAAUGAAUCUUGAGUUGAAUUGAUUGGGUGAAGUUCAGAGAAACGUUAGAGAUGAGGAUGAUUGGAUGGAGUUGUUGAAUUUUCAAUUUUUUUCCUGAUUUUUUUAUUUUUUAUUUUUAUUUUUCAUUUACUUAAUUAAAAAAAUGAUUAUAGGUUUUUUUAAUUUUUUUAAUUCAAUAAUUACACAUGUGGCGUGCCAAGUAGGCAUUGAUUAGUCAAAAUUGGCCAAAAGGACCAAAGAUGCAAAUGUUUAAAUCUUAGAGGGUCAAAAUUAUAGUUUUUGUACAUAGGGGCCAAAAUCACAAUUUUUUAAAACUUAGAGGGGCACUUCAGCCUAAGAUUUACUGUGUAAAUUAAGAUACAUUGGAAAUGUAAAGUGAAAAUGGCCAACAACAAUUAAGUGGUUAAUGAGCUUCAAUCGAGUUUGGAUGGAUGGAAUAAUUCUUAGCCAAGUAGAUAUUGCGGAAGAACUUUGGAUUACCAACUUCUCAUUUUUUAUGAGAUGAAGCAAAGGAAGAAAAAUGUAAAAUUUCGGGUGCUUUUCCAUAUGAAAAGCAAUCUAUUAGAAAAGGUAAGUAAGUAAUAUGAAAUGCAAUCUAUAGCAGGAAAAAAAUGAUGAACAGUUAGCAUAGAUAGGAAAUGACUUGGGCGUGUUUCAAGUUUCAACUAAGUGAGAUAUGAUUGAUCACUAAAAUGAGAGAAUACAAAAAAACAAAAAAAAAAAAUUGGGAAACGUCAAUAAUUUAUUAUUCACAACUACAUUUUUAAAUUGAUAAAAAUGAAGAUAUCACUAAAGUGAUAUCACCAAAAUGAAAAUACUAUAGAAAUUUUAGGGGUCAAACACCCGUAUAGGCCACCUCCCUCUAUGCCGAUCACCAUGUUUUCUAAAGCUCCCUUUGUGGUUGAAGUUGACACCGUUCUCAAAUGCAUUAAAUCAAUCCUAAAUGGACAUCUUGUGGUAGAGAUGGGUUGCGAGCCCAACACCUUUUAGAUGCAUUGUGUGGAGAAGGUUCAAUUGUGACUAGAGAUCUUUUGUGUGAUAUCACUUUAGUGGUUAACCUAUGAUUAGGAGGAAGAUGUGCCUUGAGUUUGGUAGAGUUUGUAGCUUCUUCACCCUUGACACCAUUGUUAAAUCCUGAUGGUGGAAUACACCCUAUUGCAGUAGGUACUAUUUGGAGGCGUUUGGUAUCCAAAGUUGCUAUGAAAGGAGUUGGUAAAGAUAUGGCUAUCUCAAUGGAUUUCAGUUUGGUGUUAGGGUUUCAAGUGGGGCGGAUGCCAUUUUGCACAGUGUCAAUAGAGUAUUGAACCUACGACAUGGAGAUGAUUCCUUGACUAUGCUUACAGUAGAUUUUUCGAAUGCCUUCAACUUGGUAGAUAGAUCAGCACUGCUACGUGAUGUGAGAUUGAGAUGCCCAUGUAUUUCUCUAUGGGUUGAGUUUCUUUAUGGCGAAGCAGCGAGGUUAUACGUUGGCGGUGGGCAUAUUAUGUCUGCUUAUAGAGUGCAACAAGGUGACCCAUAGGGCCGCUCCUUUUUGCUCUUAUGUUACACCCUCUUAUUCAUCAGAUUAGAAAUAGUUGCAAGAUUCUUCUUCAUGUUUGGUAUCUUGAUGAUGGGACUCUUGUAGGGGAUUCAAAGUAGGUGGCUAAAGCUCUGGACAUCAUUCGAGUUUUUGGACUAGAAUUGGGUCUGGUAUUGAAUAUUCGUAAGAUUGAGAUCUUUUGGCCUUCAUGUGAUGUAAUCAGCAUCGCGAGGGGUUUUUCCCUAUGGAUAUUGGGAGGCCGUCAUUGGGGGUGAAAUUGUUUGGAGGGGUUGUUAGCUGAGAUAAUGGUUUUAUCGAGAGGUUGGUCAUGAAGAGAGUUUCCAGUGUUGUUGAGUUAAUGCACCUUCUUCCACAGUUACGAGAUCCUCAGAGUGAGCAUCUUCUACUUCGAUCAUGCAUGGGUAUCGCCAAAAUUUUCGUUGACCUAAGAACGUGCCAACCAAUUCACAUGGAGGAGGUGGUUGUGUUGUUUGAUAAAGAGUUGUGUGGAGCGGUUGAGGAUAUUGUGGUUUAUGGAGGUCCAUUCUUUGGGGACCUUCAAUGGAGGUUGGCUUUUUUACCUAUUAGGUCUCUUAUAGAUAGUUGGCAAGUGUACCAAUAACUAUCGAAGUAGUAAUAAAUAUUGUUCCACAACACUGGAAACUAUUAAUUCCAAUUAUAGCAAGUACGUUAUUAUUUUAGGAUAUGUAAAAGUUAUUUUGAUUGCCCCAUGCAGAUGAUUUGAAUGUAACAGAAGUAAGUAAAAGUUGUUUGAAAGAUGAUUUGAGAAGAAUGAUUAAGCCGAUGAAUCCCCUAUUGUUCUAUAUGAGUAGUUAACUCCCUUAUUUACUAAUCACUAUUUAGUCUUUACGACAAAUUAUCUAAGUAGUUUUGAUCAAUCUCUUGAAUCAAAACCCUUUCCUAAGUUAUAACCUUUUAAUCUCUUAAACCGAUUGAAUAACCGCGGAAGCGAUGUCUGAACGUUAAUUCAUAUGUCAUGAUUCUCAAUUUCCUAUCUCUAGGUUCCUAUGUUGAAUCAAACAUGAUUACUAAUUCAGGAUUAAAAUCUAGGGUUAGUGGUCAUUCAAUUCCUAAUAUCAAUUCAUGUAAUUUCAAGAAGCUAGGGUUAAUAGUCAUACAAACAAUUAAAUGAAAGCAAUGAACACAAGUGAUUCUGAAUAAAGACUGAAUAAUAUUAUUAAAUAAGAGAGUAUCAACUACUAAAUCAUAUAUUACAAAGGUUCAUCAUGGCUUAAUCAUACCAAGAGUUUAGCUACUCAUGGCUUUACGAUUAUAAACAUAAAUAAGAGUGAACAUACAUAAAUCUGGACCAACUAUGAGUUGGUAUGAGAUUCAGGGCUUGUUCUUCGGUCUCCUGGUGUCUUCUAUGCUCAAAAUCGCACUUCCCAAUCAAUCCCUAAUCCUUGGCCGCAGCUGGCCUUAUAUAGAAAGAAUUUUAGGGUUCCAAAAAGCCCAUCAUCGUGCCACGAUACGAUCCAAUCGUGGCACGAUAGCUUCAUUAAUCCUACGUGGCAGCAGACAAAACCUAGCAUUAUGGCACAUUGCAUAUUGCUUCAUAACACGAAAUUUCCAGCGCUGAAUCCUUUGUCCCACGUUCAAAUGCCGUGCCACGAACAAGCUUCAUCAUGGCACGAUGCUUCACUCUUAGGAAUUUUUAAUCUUUUUCUCAGUUUCUUCUCUUUGAGCUCUUGUUCCUGUUUUGGUCUGAUUUAACCAUGAUUUACAAGCAGUUGUCUCUCUAAAUGUCAUAAAAACGACAUAAACAUAGCUAAAAACUAGUGUUGAUGCAACAUCAUCAGUCUCGGGGGUUGGGUUUAUACUCACCAGUAGAGGCUUCCUCGUACGCUUUUGUGGCUUCUAAGGCACAGUUUGUUGAAACAAAAUGUGUUUAACAUUACCACCUUAAGUUUUAAUGAUAAAAAAGUAUUAAAAAGUCAAUUGGAUAUGCUAAUAUGAUGGUGAGAAAAACACAAGAAGGGGGGUUGAGUUGUGGUUUCUUUUUCUUUUCUCCUAUUGAAGUCACUGUUCAGAAGCAGAUAGAGUUCAGCUUCUAAAGUGAGGUUCAGAAUCUAAAUGCAGCAAAUAAGUAAUGAAAGAGAGAGAGAGAGAGAGAGAGAGAGAGAGAGAGAGAGAGAGAGAGAGAGAGAGAAGAAAGACACAAAGCAAUUAUACAUGUUUCUUCCAUAAACCGGAAGUAGUUCUGUCCCCCUUGCACUUCCAAGGAGAGUUCACUAAAAUCAAUAUAUUUGAUUACAACAGCUCACUGCUAAAACUAGCAAGAGACUUGAAACUACUCAAUCACAACUACAAGAUGUUUCCUAUGCUCAAGAACAAAAUCAAGACACUUCCUAUGCUCAAGCACAACUGCAAGAGACUUCUAUUCAAAUAGAAUUACAAAGAAAGAUGUUUAAGGUUGAAGACUUGAUAUACAAUCAGUGGUGUUCACAAUACAAAUCAGAUACAGACUCUUAAGACUCUAGAAUUUCUAAGAUAUGAAAGUUGAUAAGAAAUUCUAAGUGAGGUAGUUAAUUAUAACAAUUGAGUAAAUCAUCCGUUGUACUUUGAGGGCUGCUAGCAGGUGUUGCCGUUGUGAUGUUGUGGGAGUUUGCUAGCAUUUUUUUGGUUGUUGCUGAAAUGGUUAUGCUACGAGGCUUUUGUUCUUUUAUUUGGACUUAUAGGUUGCUGAUAGUGAGACAGGUCUAUGCGUGUUAACAAAUUUUAUUAGGUUGGCUGCUUAAAUAAAAAAAAAGUCACGAUACCUGAUGCGGUUCUAGAAACAACGACAAUUCUCACGAUAAUUGGAAAUUAUGCGGCAAUUUGGAACGACAAAAUUGAACAAUCAAAAUGGGAAGAAGAAUGAAAAAGAAACAAAAAUUGAUCAAUAUGGAAGAAUAAAGAAGAAGAAAUUUGAAAGAAUGAGAUGUUUUUAUUCUCACGUUUGGGGUUCUGGAAUGGAAGAAAUUUUAUGAAUGUAAAUGAUGAAUUUAAGGACAUCUAGAUGAAAGAAAUUUAAUGUAAAAUUUUAUUUGUUAUAAGUCUUGUAGUUGUAAAGUAGGAAAUGUCCCUUUCUUGUACCUAGGUAUGCCUAUUGGUGGUAACCCUCGAAGAUUGUGUUUCUAGGAACCUAUUGUGAAUCAUAUUAAAUCUAGACUGUCGGGUUGGAAUAGUCGGUUUCUCUCUUUUGGUGGUCGCUUGGUUCUACUCAAAUCUGUCUUGACAUCUCUGCCUGUCUAUGCACUUUCCUUCUUCAAAACUCCAACAGGUAUAAUCUCCUCUAUUGAAUCUUUGUUAAUUAAUUUUUUUUUGGGGGGGGAGUGAGGAUAAUAGGAAAAUUUCUUGGUUAAGUUGGCAAACUGUUUGUUUAAAACAUGAGUAUUGCGGUUUGGGGGUGCGGAAAUUGAAGGAGUUUAAUUUAGCUUUGUUAGGAAAAUGGUGUUGGCGGAUGCUGGUGGACAGAGGUGGUUUGUGGUAUAGGGUUUUAGUCGCCAGGUAUGGCGAAUUAGGUGGCAGGUUGGAGGUUGGGGGCCGGAGUGUUUCUUGCUGGUGGUCGGAGGUGAGGCGACUUAGGGAUAGGGUAGGCGAUGGUGGUAGCGGGUGGUUUGAGGAUCAGGUGUUGAUGAGAAUGGGUGAUGGGGUUGACACUUCGUUUUGGUCUGAUAGGUGGAUAGGGGAGGCUCCUCUUUGUGUGCGGUUUAGACGGUUGUUUGAGUUAAUAGAGAAUAAGUCUAUGUCCGUCGCCGACUUGCUCUCUGUUGAUUCGGAGCGGUGGGGGGAGGUGUGGAGGUGGAGACGUAGGUUAUAGCAGUGGGAGGAGGAGUUGCUAGAUGAGUGUAGGGCUUUACUUCUUGAUGUUUCUUUGAAUCCUAAUGUUUCAGAUAACUGGGUGUGGCUUCUGGACCCAUCUGGUGGAUACACAGUUCGAGGUGCAUAUAGUUUGUUAAUCUCUCAAGUACCUCAGGUCGCCGACUAUGCUAUGGAUUUUGUGUGGCACAAACAGGUUCCCUUGAAGGUUUCUGUUUUUGCAUGGAGGCUCAUCCGUGAUCGUUUACCAACAAGGACUAAUUUGAUUGCUAGACGGGUGUUGUCGCCUGACAUGUCCUCGUGUGUUGCUGGUUGUGGUCAUCCUGAAUCGGCACGCCAUCUAUUUUUAUUGUGUGAUACUUUUAGUUCUCUGUGGCAUUUGGUGCGAGAUUGGAUUGGUUGCUAUGGGGUGGAUACAGAUAAUAUUUCAGAUCAUUUUUUACAGUUCACUCAUUUGACAGGUGGUGGUGUUGCUAGACGUUCUUUUAUGCAACUAAUAUGGCUUUUAUGUGCCUGGGUUGUUUGGAAUGAACGUAAUAACCGUAUGUUUAAUCAUGUUGUUACCCUCAUCUCUUGUUUACUAGAUAAGAUUAAGCUGUUGUCUCUAGGUUGGUUGAAAGCUAAAAAAGCUACCUUUGUUUUUGGGACUCAGCAGUGGUGGUCACGCCCUCUUGUUUGUUUGGGUAUUGACUAAUGUUUUUCUGGUGUGUUUUGUUUGUAAUUGUUGUAACUCUUGGUUUCUGAGGUAGUCUCUAAGGCACAUCUUGUGCAUUUGAGACUACCCUAUUUCGUAUAUAAUUCCAUUUUAGCUUGUUCAAAAAAAAAAGAUUGAACACCUUAAUAUAAAAAAAAUAAAUCAUUUGUUGUUUCAAAAAAAAAAAAAAUUAAAAAUAUUAAAAGUUACCUUAUGAUUAAGAUUAACUCUCCUUAAAAAAAAAAUUAAGAUCAACUCUUUUAUUUUUAAAAAAAAUCUACUCAUUUAUUUGACAUUUAAUGGUACCUAUAUAUAUUACAUUUUGAUUAGUUGAUAUCAUGAGAGGGUAAAUUACCCUCUAAACAAGAGAGCGUAACGUAGGCCUCACCCAGGGGAAGCCGUUAAUUAAAGAUAUGAAGGCUUGAAUAUAUUAGAAGAUGGGAUCAAUAAUUCAGCAGCGACAUGAGUAAUCAUAAGAAAACAUUCUAUAAAUAACAGGUUGAUAUAUAAUAAAAAUCUUAUAUCAAACUUUGAUAUAAAAAAUAAAAUCUUAAUGUUCAAUGAACAGAAGAAAAUGAAGAAACAUUUGGAAGAAAAUAUUACCUCUAGAAUUAAUGGUUGUUGUGGAUAAUUCAGCAGUGACUGAACACAAGAGCAUGCAAGAAUAGGUAGGAUCUUUUUUUUAGGCAAAUAUUAGGUAGGAUGCAAUCAAAAACGAAAAUAUAUAUAUAUAUAUAUUCGUCGGAUAUUUUAUCAAAAUAUAUUUCGUCGGAGAUCCUAAAUUAUCCAAUAAAAAAACAAAAAUGAAAAAUUGGAUGGUUCAUGCCUCAUGGUGUGUGAAUCUGGUUUUAAAAAUGGUAUAUAUAUUAUUGGAUGCAAAAAUUAACAUCAAAUGUACACUGGCUUAGUGGCAACACAGACUGACAAUGUCUCACACGUGCCUGGUAGGAGAAAACAAAAAGCGGCUGCCUUUGACACGUGUCAAAAUCUGCCGGUCCCGCCAUUUCAUAUGGCGGUAAUGGCAAAAAAAAAAAAAAAAGUGGUCAGUCAGGAUGCGACACGUGUACCGGCGGCCCAGUCCCGCCGUUUCAGAUGGCAGGAACGAGGAAAAAGACAAAAAAAAAAGUUGAUCAUUUUGGUAAAAAAAAAAUCAAAGGGGAAAAAAUUCACUUUUAAAAGUCUAGGUACCUGAACAGGAAGGUUCCACUUGGUUUUGUUUAAUUACAAUUUAAAAUUCUUCAAUUUUUUUUAGUAAGAAUCAAACUAUAAUUAUAAAAGAGUUGUGUUAUUUGAACAACCAUUUUUAUGACAACUUUCGAUACAACCAUAAAUUUGUAAAGAAAAAGUGGUAUUGACACAAAAAUCAAAGCAAUAGAGAGAGAAAGUAAAAACAUAAUGUGAGUAUGAGAGAGAAAAUUGUCACAAAAGUUGUCAAAAAUAGUUGUACAAAUAUCAUUUCUCAUUAUAAAAUUACUAUUUUAAUCUUAACUAAAAAUGCACAAGGGAGAGCCAUUAAUUAAAGAUAUGAUCAAUAAUAAUUCAGCCCCUAGCAUACUUAAUCACAAGAAAACAUUCUAUAAAUAACAGGUGGAUAUAUAAUAAAAAUGUUAUAUCAAACUUGAUAUAAAAAGUAAAAUCUUAAUGUUGAAUGAACAGUAGAAAAUGAAGAAACAAUUGGAAGAAAAUAUUACCUUUAGAAUUAAAGGUUGUUGUUUAGAGUUCAGCAGUGACUUAACACGAGCAUAUGCAAUAUUAGGUCGGAUGCUUUUGUUUUAGCCAACAUUAGGUUGGAUGCCAAUUAUAGUGCGUUGAUGCCCUUUAAAUCAAAAAGUAAAAAAAGUUAAAACAAGUGGUAGGAAGGUUCCACAUGGUCAACAUGACUCAAGAACAGGAAGGGUGUUAUGAAGUUACUUGCAUAUAGGUGGACCCAUCUGGUAGCUGAAACAGUGGUAGCUAGUUUCAUCCAGUUUGGGGAGGAAGGUGUAAAAAGAGGGGAGGGAGGUGUGAAUACGAUAAUAUACAAGGCUGGUUGUGAGAUGUAUGUAUGGUAGCUAGUUUCACACAGCCAGCGGGCCUUCCAGUUCAGUCCAAUUGCUGCAGCGAUUUGGCACCCCUAUCUUUUUAUUUCAAGGGACAAAUUCAAGUCGGAUGCUUCAAGGAACAAGUCUAAUUUGGAGGGUUUGGAGCUUGACGGUAAAGUGGUUCUGGUUCCUUGAGGUGUGUUUCUGACGCGGAUAGGAAAUUUCAUAUAUCUUCUCCAAGCUCGGAUGCACGUUAUGGGUGUGAUUGGUUUGCAAAACAGAAGUACCAGAGAACAGUGCAAGAUAGGACAGCACAAGCAGAACAACACAAGACGAAUUUUUAUGGUAUUGAAUAAUUUUCUUUAUUAUAUGAUUUUUUGGUGACGAAAUGUUAUUUUUGUAUUUUAGACACGUGUGACAAAAAGUUGUGCUGUGGUUUGGCGAGGGGACAAAAAUUACAGUUUUUGUCCUGUCCCUUACCUCCAGUUUGACCUGUUUCUGAAACUGUUUUACAAAUCAAACACUGGACAACUGGAGUUGUUUUAUCCUGUCCUUCAUUUUUUAUAAAAUCAAACGCACCCUAUAGGUCUCUCGUCUUUACUCGUGAUGCGGUGCAAUAAAGGAGGCGGAGACAAAAGGGGCAAUUUUGAGUUGGAACCUUCCUCUAUUCCAAAACAUAGUAUUGAAUCAUAUAGAAGAGAGAUGGAGUGCAGAGUCAUUUCAUCUUAAGGCAUCGUUAGGGAGAUGUUGGUUCCUCGGCCUCCGACACAUGGAUGUUUGCCAUGUAUACCACCUAUGCUUUAUUCGUUUUUGUCCAGAGAAAGGGGUUCCUACACCCACACCUCAUAGGGCAUGGAUGUUUCAGGGUCUUCACUUGACCAUUCAGCUUGAGGAGUUUCCCCUUAGGUAAAAGUAAAGGGUUAGUUAUUCUUUCAGUAGGGAGGAUGGUUUUUAGACUGAUAAGAUGAUGGGUUUUGAUGAAAAAGAUAUUAUCAUGACAAGGUGAAGGAAGUUUGUUGAGGUGAAUAGUGUUGGAACAAAAUGUGUUUCACAAUGAACCUUAUUAAGUUUUGAUGAUAACAAGGUAUUAAAAAUUGUCAAUUGGUUAUUACUAAUAAUUGUUCAAGUGUACAGGACCAAAAGGCUACUCAAGUUAUUUCAAUAGGUCUUGGAAGAACAAUGGAAAGAAAAAAGAAAUUCUGAGCAUCUGAAGAAAACUGCUCCUGAAGCUGAAGUGCUUCUAAAGUGAUGACGUCAUCAGAAGCAGAAAGUCAUCAGAAGCAAAAGUUUUCAUCAGAAGCAAUAUCUUCACCAGAAGCUACGUUUGAUCCUUUAAUCAAACUGAAGAUUCAAAGUAGCUGAUUCUCAAUUCAGUCUUAUCCAAGAAGAACGAAGAAUUGAAAGGGAGGUAUCAACGGAUAUAUGGAUAGCACUGAGCACUUGUCUCUCGUUAAUAGAGUUGACAAAGUACAAGUGUACAACCACUACCUCCACUACUCUGUUUUCUGUCUACGCUACAAGACAAAACAACAGCCAUGCCUGCAUAAUUUGUACGUUCAAGAUGGGAAUGAAUUUGAAGCUUAUUCUUCAAAGGACUACACCCAAAUCAGGCAAAGGAUCAUUGGUGGAUAAUCAAAGGAUUUCAAACGACUCUUUAGACGUGCUGAUUAUCUCAACGUCUCUUUCACGCCUCUAUAUAAAGGAGUGAAGACUUGAAGAUUAUACAUAGAGAUACAUAAAUUCAAAAGCGCCAAAACUCUGUCAAUUUGAUUCUACAAAGCACACUGAAUUUCUGCACUGAUUUGAUACAUCUUAGAAAUUCAAAGUCUAGAGUCUUUACUGUAUUGUAUUGUGAACACCACUGAUUGUAUAUCAAGUGUUCAACUCAAACUCAAUUCUCUGUAUUUUUGUUUGAUUAGAAGUCUCUUGCCUGCGUGCUUGAGCAUUAGAAGUCUCUUGCUUAGUGCUUGAGCAUUGGAAGACUCUUGCGUGUGUGCUUGAGCAUUUUUGUGAAGUCUCAUACUUAGAAAGUAUUGAGCAGUUGUAAUCUUUGUGAUUAUAGUGAAAUCUCCUUGGAAGUGCAAGGGGGACUGGACUACUUCCGUGUUGUGGAAGGAACCAGGAUAACUGCUUGUGUCUUUGUCUUUCUUUUCUCUGCUCUGUUCUUUUCCGCUGCAAUCUGACUCUGAUCAUUUCAUCAGAAGCAAUCAAACUGCUUCUGAAGUUUUAUCAGAAGAAGUAUUUUUUAAGAGAAAAAGAAAACACAAUUCAACCCCCCCCCCCCCCCCCCCCCCUUCUUGUGUUUUUCACCUUUAAAUAGAUGAUUAUAGGAUCUAAUAAUAUUAAGGGUCUAGAUGGUAGGAUCAAGAAGACAAAGGUACGAGACUUCAUUGCAUAUAACCAUCUUGAUUUUCGUUGUGAUACAUGAAACUAAGUUAGAUCAAAUUUCAUAUGCUCUAAUUUAUUUACCUUUGAUAGAAUUCUUUUUGUGAUUGGAGUUUCACUCCGUCGGUUGACAUAAUGUUGGGAUUAUGUCUAUUUGAUGUAAAACCAACUUGACUUUAGUCUUCUCUUUUUGGAGCCCCGACUAUAUGGGGAUGUGCCUAGAUUAGGGGAGAAAAGGGUAAUGUGGGAUCAUAUGAUGAGUACUUUUAAUGCUUUGGGGGUAUUUGGUUGGUGUGUCUUUGGUGAUUUUAACUCAGUCUAGGAGGAGUGCGAGCAGAGGGUCGUUCUUCAUAUCUUAGGAGUGGGGACACGAUUUAGAUCACGGUCACGGAGUUUGCUAAUUUUGUUUCCCAAAUCGGUCUCUUUGAUCUACCCCUCAUUUGAAGGCAAUUUUUGGGGUUCCAACCUCAUGGAACCGCAAUGAGUUGCUUGGAUUGUAUUCUGAUAUUUGUUAAAGUCAUUGCUUUUGAAAAUAAUUCUGAACUAGUUUCUUGAUCAGCUCAUAUUGGCUUUGCAGUGCUUGAAGCUUCACCUUCUUUGACUUGUCAUGACCACCUUAUGCUUUAUUAAGAGUAUCCCAAACACCUUUUGUGGUUUCUUGAUAAACUAUCUUUUCAAAGAUAUUGGGAUCAACACUUGAAUGAAUUAGGAACAAGCCUUUUCCAUCCGUCUUCUUUUGCUCUCAAUUGGCAGAUCUUUGUGCAUCACCAGCAUUAUCUGGCAAAUCUAGAACACAUCUUGAAAUCAUUCACAUUCACGAUUUCAAACACAUCUUGAAAUCUGAAUAUGACUUUCAUUUUAGGACACCACUUGUCACAUUUCUGACCUUUGAAGAUGGGAAGAUUUGCAGGAAAAAUGUCCAUUGUUUGUGGAAUUCGCCAUUGUUGAAAAUUAAAAUUGUUGUAUCCAAGAUCGAAUCAAUUGUUACACCAGUUUGUUGGAACACUUGAUGGUUUUGAAGAAGGGGAAAUGUGGUAAAAGGAGAAAAUGUGUGCUAUGUGAAAGAAUCAAAAGUUUUUAUUUAUUAACAAUUGUACAAUUAACAUCCGUUGAGAUUACUUAUAUCCGAAAUAGCUCAACUAACUCUAAAACAAACUAGUUGCUUGGCUAACACGUUACAGACUCAACUAACUAUAUCUAAUGAUUAAUUGUCCAACAUUGAAUUACAUCACAAAAGUUAGCACAUGUUAUUUGAAAGGACAAAACUUAUGCACAGUUUCAUACCUGCUGUUUUUGCUAUUUUCAAAUCAAAACGUGACAUCUGUACAACUUAUCCACGUCAGCUAACGUAGUGAAAACGGCGUGAAGUUCUUAACGUUUCCAGCAAAUUCCUGUUUUAGGAGCACUACACAACCACCGUCCCCAUGCGCUAACAACAUAAACUGGCAAGGAGAGAAUCUAAAAGAGCAAGGUAAAGAAUUGAUGGAGAUGCACAUAAAGAGUAAGAGGAAUGGGUUGGAAUUUUGAUUGAAGAUGUUAAAUACAUUGAUUUUAUGUAUUUAUCUCUAUGUACAGCUUUAUCAUGGGAUUGGAUGAAGAGUUAUGGGACAUACUGGAAGAUGGAGUUGAUGAUCUGGAUUUGGAUGAAGAAGGAGCUGCUAUAGACAGAAGAAUACAUACUCCUGCUCAGAAGAAGCAUUAUAAGAAACACCACAAGAUAAGAGGAAUCAUUGUGGCUUCUAUACCUCGCACCGAAUACAUGAAGAUGAGUGACAAAUCUACUGCGAAGGCUAUGUUUGCUUCUCUAUGUGCAAACUUUGAAGGCAGCAAGAAGGUGAAAGAGGCUAAAGCUUUGAUGCUAGUUCAUCAGUAUGAACUUUUCAGAAUGAAGGAUGAUGAGAGUAUAGAAGAAAUGUACUCAAGAUUUCAAACUUUAGUUUCUGGAUUGCAAAUACUGAAGAAAAGCUAUGUUGCUUCUGAUCAUGUUAGUAAGAUUUUGAGAAGCUUACCUUCAAGAUGGAGACCCAAAGUAACUGCUAUUGAGGAAGCUAAGGAUUUAAAUACUUUAAGUGUUGAAGAUCUUGUUAGCUCACUCAAAGUGCAUGAAAUGAGUUUAAAUGAGCAUGAAACCUCUAAGAAGAGUAAAUCCAUUGCUUUACCAUCUAAAGGAAAGACUUCAAAAUCUUCCAAAGCCUACAAAGCCAGUGAAUCUGAAGAAGAAUCACCUGAUGGAGAUUCUGAUGAAGAUCAAUCUGUAAAGAUGGCUAUGCUGUCCAACAAGCUUGAGUAUCUGGCAAGGAAGCAGAAGAAAUUUUUGAGCAAGAGAGGUAGCUACAAGAACUCCAAGAAAGAAGAUCAUAAGGGAUGCUUCAAUUGUAAGAAGCCUGGUCAUUUCAUUGCUGAUUGCCCUGAUCUUCAGAAGGAGAAGUUUAAAGGCAAAUCCAAGAAAUCAAGCUUCAACUCCAGUAAAUUCAGAAAGCAAAUCAAAAAGAGCUUGAUGGCGACCUGGGAAGAUUUGGAUAGUGAAUCUGGUUCUGAUAAAGAAGAAGCUGAUGAUGAUGCUAAGGCAGCCAUGGGGUUAGUGGCAACAGUAUCAUCAGAAGCAGUAUCAGAAGCUGAAUCAGAUUCAGAAGAUGAAAAUGAGGUAUAUUCCAAAAUCCCUAGACAAGAACUUGUUGAUUCUCUAAAAGAACUUUUAUCCCUGUUUGAACACAGAACCAAUGAGUUGACAGAUUUAAAAGAAAAAUAUGUUGAUUUGAUGAAACAACAAAAGACAACUCUAUUGGAACUGAAAGCUUCUGAAGAAGAACUCAAAGGGUUUAACCUCAUAUCAACAACAUAUGAAGAUAGACUCAAGAGUCUUUGUCAGAAGCUACAAGAAAAAUGUGAUAAAGGUUCAGGCAAUAAAAAUGAGAUUGCCUUGGAUGAUUUUAUUAUGGCUGGAAUAGACAGAAGCAAAGUUGCUUCUAUGAUCUACAGCACAUACAAGAACAAAGGCAAAGGGAUUGGAUAUUCUGAGGAGAAAUCCAAAGAAUACAGUCUCAAGAGCUACUAUGAUUGUAUCAAGGAUGGAUUGAAAUCCACCUUUGUGCCUGAAGGUACAAAUGUUGUUCAGUCAAAACCUGAAGCUUCUGGUUCACAGGCUAAGAUCACAUCAAAGCCAGAAAACCUUAAGUUCAAGGUUAUGACAAAAUCUGAUCCUAAGAGUCAAAAGAUUAAAAUUCUGAAAAGAUCAGAACCUGUUCAUCAGAAUCUGAUUAAACCAGAAUCUAAGAUCCCAAAACAAAAGGAUCAGAAGAAAAAAGCAGCUACUGCUUCUGAGAAAACAAUACCCAAAGGUGUUAAACCUAAAGUAUUGAAUGAUCAGAAGCCACUCAGCAUUCACCCUAAGGUACAAGGGAGGAAAAGUAAAACCUCCAAAACUAACCCAAAAGGACCCAUGAAGAUAUGGGUACCUAAAUCUGAAUUGGCUAAAAAUGCAGGUGUGCCUAAGGGCAAGAGAGAAACAAAGGUCAUGGUACCUAGACAGCGGAUGUUCAAGGCACAUGACUGGAGAGAAAGCUUUGUUCCUUACCCUUACAAUGAAAGAUGGAGGAGAAGUGAAGUUUGGUGGCAACCAAACUGGAAAGAUCAUUGGUACAGGUACUAUUGGUAAUUCCUCCAUCUCAAUUAAUAAUGUGUGGCUAGUAGAUGGUCUGAAGCAUAACUGUUAUACCCUGAUUUUGGACCUAAAAAUACUCGUUCAAAUUUCUUUUUUAACACUAAUAUUUGUCAAUUCUCUGUUAUUUUACUCUGAAUCUUUACUAUCUUUUUAAACGUAUUAUACUGCCUCUGUCUUUUCUGACAUUACAAGUCAUUUAAGAACUCUGAAAUGUCGCGUUACUUUUCUUGCACUUUAUUUCAAAAAAUCAUACAAAAGGGUAUUUUGGUCAUUUCCUGCAGUGGAACCCAUUUUUGUCCCUGUAUUUGUCUCUAAGUCUCUUCAACUUGUCUGUACAAAUCAUCGUUGAUUCUUUGUUAAAAAUCAUUUCAAAAUCGCAUCUGAGUCAAUUUGGGUCAGUUUAGUCCCUAGGGGCAUUUUGGUCUUUUCCUGUCAAAAUUUUGACAGGGAGGUAUUUUGAAAUACCUCAUGUCAGUAUUUGGUUCGUUUUAGUCCUUUUGUUGAUUUUAUUUUAGGUUUCACUUUACGUUUUGUCAGGUUACCCAUUUUAUUCCAAUUUUAUUUUUAUUUUUAUUUUGCAUUUUGGUCCUCAAAGAAGUCCAAAGCUUUUCAGUCCAGAACUUUUUAUUUUACAUUUCAGUCCUUUUUGGUUAAUUGCAGUUUAGUCCUUAAGUUUUUAUUUUUGCAGAAAGGUCCCAAAUUCAUUUCAAGUCCAAGGCCGUGCCAUUUUCAUACAAGUCCAGGUGUCACCUUUUCAUUGGGUCUCAAGUACACAUGUCAGAUUAUAAAUAGUGCACAGUGCCACACAAAGCCAUUAAUCACAUGCCAACUCAACAAACACAAUCAAGCUUUCUCUCUCCUUUCUGUUAGGAUCAAAAGAUCAAAAAUUCCCAAGAACACGAAGAACAUAAACCCUAAUUUUCUGCAGAAAUCAUAGAAAUUCAUCAGAAAUCAACGAAUUUCACAUCGAUCCUCAGAGAUUCGUGUGAACCUUCAUCACUGGAUUGGAGAUUUCCCUACAAUUCCAAGUGCGAGCUCACAUUGAAGCAAGCUCAAGCACUGAUCACAGGAAUUCUCACGUGGAUCUAAGAAGCAAGAAGCAAGCUCAAGCACGUAAUCACAGAGAAAGAAUCGGAGAAGAUGAAGAAACCAAGCCAGUAAACCGAUUUAUUUUCGGUUCAAAAAGCAACCAGAAAUCAUCAAGAACAAAUCGAAGUUUUCCGAAGAAACUCAGCAGAAUCUCCAUCAAAACUCAGGUAAAACUCAUUUUUUCUCUUUAAUGGCGUUAAUCAUAGUUGAACCUGCAUGCAAACGAACAAACCAGAUCUAAAAAGUUUCCAGAACAGAAAGCGAACUGAACCGUAUGCGCAAGAUCUAGAUCCAUAAGGACUUAGACUUUGCAAGCAAGAACAAGCACCAGAGAAGUAACAAACACGAAACGAUGUAGAUCCUUAAGAGUUUGAACGUACUCAUUCAAAACCCUAAAAAAAAAAAAAUUUCAAAACCGUAUGAAAAUUCUCCGAUCUACGUCGUUUCAGGCUUUGUUUGUGAAAAUCAAUGUCAGAUUCGUGUUUAGGGUUUAAAAACGAACAAGAAAAUGUAAAAAAAUUUGAAUUCUGGGUGUUUUGCUCGUCGGAACCCUAACUUCUCACCGGAGAAGAUGAAGUUUCCGGUGGAACCUUCAUCUUCUCCGGCCAACAACCACCGGAGAAGGGAGGAGAGAGGUGAGAGGUCUGAGAGAAGAGAGAAGUUUAGAGAGAGAGAGAGAGAUGAAAGAAAUGAAUUGGACCGGUGUCCAUAUGCUUAUAUAGACGCCUGAACCGGUCCGGUUCAUUUUGUUUUCAUCCUGGACCGUAGGAUUUAGGGUUUUGUUAUUUGAAUGGCUGUGAUGCUUUGUUUCCAUGUGCUUGAUCUGUGUUACCAUGCGCUGCUUGUUUUGAACCGUCAGAUCUAGGUCUGGAUCAAUCUAACGCCUCUGAGGCCUUUGGAUGAUCCAGGCCCAGUCUGCAUUGGGUUUUGGGUUGGGUUUAAGGUUCCUUUUACGUUUUUACCUUUUUCUUGCUAUCUGUACCCCUACUUUUUGCUAUCUGAACCUGUUUCUUGCUCACAUAUUUUUACAAAAAAAUUCCUAAAAAUCCUAGGUGUUUCUUGAUACAUUUUUCGUAUUUUUAUGGUGUUUUGCAUGUAAAAAAAAUGGUAAAAUGGCAUGAAUUAAUUCCCAUGUGUUUUUACAUUUUUGGUAUUCUUUUGGUUAUGUUUUUUUGUUCUUGACACUUUGAUAUGUGACAUGGAUGAUUGAUAUACAAUAUUGUAAUGAAUAUGCCUCUGAUCAUGUGUCCUUUUUGCUGUUUUUGGAUAUGAUUUUGUAAAUUUCUUGUUUUGCAAACAAUAAGUGUUUGUCUUAAGGAAUAAAGUGUCAAAUUUCUCUAUGAAUUUGGUGUGAUACUUUGCUUGCAUAUGUCUCUAUUAAUUUCAUGUCAUGGCUUGAAACAAAAUCUUUUUCAAAAUUGCCAUGAUGUGAGAAUUAUGGGUCACAAGCACAUUUAGGUAUCAUAUCAAAUUUUUUAGGUUUUUACCACUUUAUUACUUUCCUUUUUUGCCGUUCUUAUGCAAUUUCUUUUUGUUUAUUUCCUACUAUUUUGUGCCUUAUCAUUACUAACCAUUUCAUUUCAUGUGCCAUACAUUUCAUAAGCAUUUCACAAUUCCAUUCCUAUUCCUCAUAGUUUAGGGUUUAUCUCUUUUAUUUCAAUGUUACUUUGGCAUGUAAUAUUUUAGAUAGUUUUAAUUUCUUUUAAGAUUUUUUCAAGACCAUAGAAUGUAUCUAGGACAAUGUAAAGGACUAUGGACUCUCUAAUAAUGUACACCGACACAAGCACCGACACUCGCACACACGUUGCAUGAUUAUCGAUUUAGGUAUAUGUUUAGGAAUUCGACGCCUAGUGAAAUUUCUCCUUCGAAAUAGGCUAAAUUUUCCAAACAAACUUUGGAGUCAAAACUCCAAUGCCUUUUUGUGAAAUAAAAAUAAAGAUCAAAUUCGACAUUUUUCUUCUAUGCCUUACGGCUUCUCUCCUCGUUUUCAAAAAUCAUUUUCCAAGUAAAAUAAAAACCUCAAUCAUCUUCUCCCCUUAUUCUUCACUCAAAUAAAAUAUCUUCUUUUCAAUAAGUAGGCAAUAAAAAAUAAAGCGUAGAAAUAAGCUUAGGAGAACGGUUCUUAUGGAGUACCAUAAUCGCUCCGGGUGCCUAACACCUUCCCGUAGCGAAAACGACCCCCGAACUUAGAAUCUAAGGGUUUUUUCUCAAUUUUGCCCUUCCCAAGAAAAAAUAGAGAAUAUCAAAGAUUGAAAGGUUCAAGCCAAAUUAAUGACUUGACACCCGAAAAUCGCGAUAACAGAAAUGGCGACUUCACUGAGGAAUUUUUUUUUAGCGGGUCGCGCCUAGUUUUCCUUAGUUUAUAUUUACGCUUUGUUUUAUUGCUUACAUAUGUGAAUACUUGUUUACUUUCAUUUGACGUGUGGGGUGAGAAUAUCAAAAGUCCUAUACCCGGGCUGAGUGAACUUAUGUUUAGGUAGAGAUAUAAUCGACAAUUCGAUCCGGGGGUUGCCUCGUGUAUUGGAUUAUGCGAUCAAUCUCACAUAGCUGAGGCAUUUUGAAGGUGAUAUUGUCGGCGUGUGUUGUUAUGCUUAGGCAUUUCACUUUCAAUUGUUCGACGAAGCUAUGAACCGUAGUUACCAAACCCAUCCUAGCCUUUUUAGGACGUAGUGCGGUGGCUAAAUUGAGUGUUGUCUCAAACUUUAGUCGUCACGCGAUACUACACUCAAACUAGACCUUCUCACAAAUAAUCAUGGAACGGGUGUCGUCCUGUACUACCAUGAUAUAUGUGAGAGAGGUUGCAGUUUGGGAACUGUGUUAGAACCUUGGUUACUACUAUCCAAAAGCUUAGUUCACCGGACGCCGUGUCCAUCCGUGGCCCUGUUACUUUGAAUCUCAACCCACCUUGUUCUUUGUAACUAAACAACACAAUCAUGCAUACAUGCAUUCAUGCAUAAACAUUUUUCAUGCAUUCGUCGAAGGGCUUAAACAAAUGGAAAUUUUUGUAAAUAAUCACAGGUAUGAAGAAGACUAAGUGCUACAAGUUCAAGGAAGUGGAUUUGGUCAGUUUAAGAGAGUUGGCACUCAAGGUCAAGAGUCAAACAGGGUUCCGACUCCGGUAUGGGGGAUUGCUUACUUUGCUCCGAACCGAUGUGGAAGAGAAGCUAGUGCACACUCUAGUGCAAUUUUAUGAUCCGAGCUUCUGUUGCUUCACUUUCCCGGACUUCCAGUUGGUUCCUACUCUCGAGGCUUACUCCAAUCUAGUGGGUUUACCUAUAGCCGAGAAGACGCCUUUCACCGGUCCCGGGACUUCUCUUACUCCUCUGGUUAUUGCUAAGGAUCUCUACCUCAAGACGUCCGACGUCUCCAACCAUCUUAUUACCAAGUCUCACAUCCGGGGGUUCACUUCAAAGUAUCUUCUUGAGCAGGCUAAUCUCAGUACUACUUGUCAGGAUACACUCGAGGCUAUUCUUGCUUUGCUUAUCUACGGGCUCAUUCUCUUUCCGAACCUCGACAACUUCGUGGACAUGAAUGCUAUCGAGGUCUUCCAUUCCAAGAACCCGGUUCCUACUUUGCUAGCGGAUACCUACCACGCCAUUCAUGACAGGACUCUCAAGGGCCGUGGGUAUAUUCUUUGCUGCAUAUCUCUUUUGUAUAGGAGGUUUAUUUCGCACCUUCCGAGUUCCUUCCAUGACAACUCGGAGAACUGGUCCUACUCGCAGCGGAUUAUGGCCCUCACUCCUAAUGAGGUCGUCUGGCUCACUCCUGCCGCUCAGGUGAAGGAAAUCAUUAUGGGUUGUGGGGACUUUCUCAAUGUACCUCUUCUCGGUACUCGUGGAGGAAUUAACUACAACCCCGAGCUUGCUAUGAGACAGUUUGGUUUCCCUAUGAAGUCGAAGCCCAUCAAUCUUGCUACAUCUCCAGAGUUCUUCUUCUACACGAAUGCUCCUACCGGACAAAGGAAAGCUUUCAUGGAUGCUUGGUCCAAGGUUCGAAGGAAGAGUAUGAAGCAUCUAGGCGUGAGAUCCGGUGUUGCUCAUGAGGCCUAUACUCAGUGGGUGAUAGAUCGAGCUGAGGAGAUUGGCAUGCCUUAUCCAGCUAUGAGAUACGUGUCUUCAUCUGCCCCAUCUAUGCCUCUACCUCUACUCCCCACGACUCAGGAUAUGUAUCAGGAGCAUCUAGUUAUGGAGAGUCGUGAGAAGCAAGUGUGGAAAGCUCGGUACAAUCAAGCUGAGAAUCUAAUCAUGACUUUGGAUGGUAGAGAUGAGCAGAAGACUCAUGAGAACCUGAUGUUGAAGAAGGAACUAGCUAAGGUCCGGAGGGAAUUGGAAGAGAAAGACGAGCUGCUUAUGAGGGAUUCCAAGAGAGCCAGAGGACGACGAGACUUCUUUGCCAGAUACUGUGAUUCAGAUUCCGAGUCCGAUGAUUCUCCGACUACUUCCUAUGCUUGAGGGCUUCAUCUGUUUAUCUUGCUGAAAUUUCGAAGUCUUCCUUUUGAAAAUACUAUGUAGUUCUGAUUAUUUGCAAGAUUUCUAAUUUGUUUAAAAAUCCUUCGAUGAAAAAAGAAGUCUUUUGCAUUUGCAUUUGCAUAUCAUGCAUCAUAUGCAUCAUGCAUUGGUCACAAAGGCUUCCAAGUACUCACUACCUCCUGGUUCCUCUGCCACAGUUUGAAAAGUGGCUCGUGCUCAGAAGGUCUACGAACCUGACAGAAUCGAUCGAACCAGAGAAUACAGAAGAAGGAAAAAGGCUAUGGAAGAAGAGAACGCUCAGCUCCGUACCGAGUUAGCCACUCUAAGGGAGGAAUUGGCUAAAGCUAAUGAUGUCAUGACUGCUCUGCUAGCCGCUCAAGAACAAUCAGCUACGGCUAUCCCUAUAGCCACAGCUGUACCGGUGACUACAAGCGUGCUCCCAACCACAUCUGCAGACGCUCGCUUUGCUAUGCCAGCUGGGUUUCCGUAUGGGCUUCCACCGUUCUUCACUCCCAGUACUGCAGCGGGCACUUCGGGCACUGCUAACAAUGUUCUGAUCCCUGCAACAAAUGCUGCCUCCAUCAAUGCUACUUUGCCACAAACUACGGCAGCUGUCACUGAGCCUCUUGUGCAUACCCUGCCUCAAGGUAUUAACAUCAACACACAGCACGGAAACAUCCCCGUGACCAAGACCAUGGAAGAGAUGAUGGAGGAACUUGCUAAAGAACUCCGUCAUGAGAUCAAAGCCAAUCGAGGGAAUGCGGACUCUUUCAAAACUCAAGAUCUCUGCUUGGUGUCAAAAGUGGAUGUCCCUAAGAAGUUCAAAAUCCUAGAUUUCGACCGGUACAACGGGCUAACUUGUCCCCAAAACCACAUCAUCAAAUACGUCCGAAAGAUGGGCAAUUACAAAGACAAUGAUUCCCUUAUGAUCCACUGCUUUCAGGAUAGUUUGAUGGAAGAUGCCGCAGAGUGGUAUACUAGUUUGAGCAAAAAUGAUAUCCAUACCUUCGAUGAAUUAGCCGCUGCUUUCAAGAGCCACUACGGGUUUAACACCCGAUUGAAGCCGAACAGGGAAUUCCUCAGAUCUCUCUCCCAGAAGAAGGAGGAAAGCUUCCGUGAAUACGCACAAAGAUGGAGGGGGGCAGCUGCCCGCAUUACUCCCGCUCUUGAUGAAGAAGAAAUGACCCAGACAUUCUUAAAGACCUUGAAGAAGGAUUAUGUUGAGAGAAUGAUCAUAGCUGCCCCGAAUAACUUUUCGGAGAUGGUCACCAUGGGAACCCGUCUGGAGGAAGCCGUCAGGGAUGGAAUCAUUGUGUUCGAGAAAGCUGAAUCCUCUGUGAAUGCAUCGAAGAGGUAUGGUAAUGGACACCACAAGAAGAAAGAAACGGAAGUAUGGAUGGUGUCAGUUGGAGCCGGUCAAUCCAUGGCUACUGUUGCUCCUAUCAAUGCAGCUCAAAUGCCUCCGUCAUACCCAUAUGUGCCGUAUUCUCAGCAUCCUUUCUUUUCGCCAUUUUAUCAUUAGUACCCUCUGCCACCGGGUCAACCUCAAGUACCCGUCAAUGCAAUUGCUCAACAGAUGAAACAACAGUUGCCAGUUCAACAACAACAACAAAAUCAGCAAGCUAGACCUACUUUCCCUCCGAUACCGAUGUUAUAUGCUGAGUUGCUUCCAACUUUACUCCAUAGAGGGCAUUGUACAACCAGACAGGGCAAGCCCCCACCUGAUCUGCUGCCUCCAAGGUUCAGGUCCGACCUCAAAUGUGAUUUUCAUCAAGGUGCCCUAGGUCAUGAUGUCGAGGGGUGCUAUGCUUUGAAGUAUAUCGUGAAGAAGCUCAUUGAUCAAGGAAAGCUGACUUUUGAGAAUAAUGUCCCACAUGUCCUCGACAAUCCUCUUCCAAAUCAUGCCGCUGUAAAUAUGAUCGAAGUAUGUGAGGAAGCUCCUAGACUUGAUGUCCGUAACGUCGCAACUCCUCUGGUGCCUCUACACAUCAAGCUGUGCAAAGCUUCUCUGUUCAGCCAUGAUCAUGCCAAGUGCCUAGGAUGCCUUCGUAAUCCUUUGGGUUGCUACACUGUUCAAGAUGACAUCCAAAGCUUGAUGAAUGAUAAUUUUUUGACUGUCAGUGAUGUCUGCGUGAUUGUGCCAGUUUUUCACGAUCCGCCUGUCAAGAGUAUACCUUUGAAGAAGAAUGCUGAGCCUUUGGUGAUAAGGUUGCCUGGACCGGUACCGUAUACUUCAGAUAGGGCUAUCCCGUACAAAUAUAAUGCUACCAUAAUCGAAAACAGAGUAGAAGUGCCUCUGGUGUCCUUGGCUAUGUUGAACAAUACUGCCGAAGGAACUUCAGCAGCCCUAAGAAGCGGAAGAGUCCGUCCACCAUUGUUUCAAAAGAAGGCAGCUACGCCUACCGUGCCACCCAUUGACAAGCCAACCCCGACUGAUGUUUCUCCCGUUAACAGAGACGCGAGCCAACCAGGCCGGUCUAUAGAGGAUUCUAAUCUGGACGAGAUUUUGAGGUUGAUCAAAAGAAGUGAUUAUAAGAUUGUGGAUCAGCUGUUGCAAACUCCGUCGAAGAUAUCCAUUUUGUCUCUACUCCUGAGUUCCGCUGCCCACAGAGAUACCCUUUUGAAAGUAUUGGAGCAGGCUUAUGUGGAUCAUGAAGUAACUGUGGAUCACUUUGGUAGCAUAGUGGGAAACAUUACCGCCUGCAGCAACCUGUGGUUCAGUGAAGAUGAAUUGCCCGAAGCAGGAAAGCAUCAUAAUCUGGCCUUGCAUAUCUCCGUGAAUUGCAAGUCCGACAUGAUCUCAAAUGUGUUAGUAGACACUGGCUCAUCUUUGAACGUGAUGCCCAAGUCAACGCUGGAUCAGCUGAGUUACCGGGGAACUCCCUUGAGGAGGAGCACUUUUCUGGUCAAAGCCUUUGAUGGAACCCGCAAGAGCGUUCUCUGGGAGAUAGACUUGCCAAUAACUUCGGCCCCGAAACCUUUCUAAUCACCUUUCAGGUCAUGGAUAUUAAUGCCUCUUACAGCUGUCUCUUGGGAAGACCGUGGAUACACGACGCGGGAGCAGUGACCUCUACUUUGCACCAAAAGUUGAAAUUUGCAAAAAGUGGAAAGCUUGUUACCAUUCAUGGAGAGGAAGCAUACCUGGUUAGCCAGCUAUCGUCUUUCUCUUGCAUAGAAGCAGGGUCUGCAGAGGGGACCGCUUUUCAAGGAUUAACUGCCGAAGGUACGGAGCCCAAGAGGGAUGGAACUGCUAUGGCUUCUUUGAAGGAUGCACAGAAAGCCGUCCAAGAGGGUCAAGCUGCCGGCUGGGGCAGGUUAAUACAUGUCAUACCCCAAAUUUUGACCUAAGGUCACACUGACACACGUCUCCGAACUCGGACCAGACUCACAUUUCAGUGAAAAAUUCGGCCGGGAGGUAUUUUGAAAUACCUCAUAAAAUUCCGAAUCGGGCCCUCUUCUCUCAGUCUAAAAUUAUUUCCAUCUUUUAAAUUUUUAUUUUAACUUUAGUCUAAAUUUAGAUUAAAUUUCUUUUAUUCCCAUUUUAAAUUUUCCUUUUUAUCCUUUUUAAAACCAAAAAUAUAGACAUUAUCCUUUUAUUAUUAAUUUUUCUUUUUAAUUAAGUCCCAAAAUUGUCCAAUGAUAAGUCCAACAAAAUAGUCCAAAUUCAGAUAAGCAGUCUCUCAUCUCAAUCCUUAUACACGUUUUGUUCCUUUUUCAUCCCAAUCCAAAUCCAGUUCACGCCUCAUCUGAAACAAAUCCAGUAAAAACAGACGCGUUUCCCUUUUUCUCCUCCACAAGCCACUGCUUUUUUGCUCAUCAGUAACAAACCCUAGCCUCAACCUCACUCUAUAAAUAGAGACCUGCACAACAAAGAAAAACGGAAAAAACAGAGGACAGCAGAACGCAGCAGAACAUACGAAAAAACAGAAAGAAACAGCAGAGAAGCCAAGACAACAACAACAGCACACACACACGCACAACAGCACACACACGCCACAACAGCACACACACGCACAACAGCACACACACGGACAGCAACUCACACACAAAAGGGGGUAGACGGUGACGAAUUUGAACCAGUCACAACACGGAAUUGCAAACGACACGGACACCAUCAGAAUCGUAAUCAAGAGGAAGAAUCGGAAACAAGCAGAUCCGGGACCAGAAUCGGAACAUAGCACGAAAAAGGUAGUUUUUUUAAUUGUUCACGUUUUCUUUUAGAUCCAGGCUUAGUGUUUUGGUUUGAGGAGAUUUUGGCUUUAGAAACAUCAAUAGGAAGGAGAGAGGGAUAUAAAGAGCGAAAAAAAAUAAAUAAAGGGGAGCUUUUUAGCUCCGGCGCGGCGGCGCAGCCGCGAUGGCUCGCCGGCCACCGCGCCGGAAUUCCCCCGGCCACCCCAUCUCCAACCGGAGAAGAAGAGAGAGAACAGAGAGUUUAGAGAGAGAAGGGGACGGAAGAGAGAGAAGGAGGGAGAAGAAAUGAAGGAAUUAGGGUUUACAACCCUUAUAUAUCCCCAAACCGGGUCGCCCAUGACCCAUGACCCGCGACCCGUUUCGUUUCCUUAAAGCCCAAUUCUUUUUUUUUUGCUUUCUGCACACCCCUGUUUACUACUGCACCCCACCAUGUGUUUGGACUUUUUUUUUAUUUUUAUUUUUUCCUUAUUCGUAUUUAUUUAUCUUUUAGCAUUUUAAUUUUUAUUGCAGACCUUAGAAUGCAAAUAGUACAAAACUACAAAAACAUUUUUCAUAAUAAACCUUGAUCCAAAUCAAGUGACCGCAUUUUUAUUUUCUUUUCUUAAUCAAACAUCAAUCAAUUUAAUUCUACCUUGAGUUUAUUUUCAUUUAAAUUAAAAAACACAAACAAAUUCUUAUUUGCCACUUGGCUUUUCCUUUUAAAACCUUUUUCAAAACUAAUAAAAAACAUACAACCAAUCAAACGUCAAUUUCUACUCCGAACUACGAGGUUUUGAUCCCUCACGGGUACGUAGGCAGAGGACCAUGUCCUUCCAAAUCAAUAAAAAAUGUAGAUAAAUUAGGUCUCACUUUCUUUUUCUUUUAAUCAUCACAUUAACUUCUUUUUUUCAAAAGCAAGCAAGUUAUAGCACAUUAAAUUAAAUAAAACCAAGAGGUUCCCGUAGAGUACUACGGACAUAGAGGGUGCUAAUACCUUCCCUUUAUGUAACUAACCCCCGAACCCUAAAUCUUUUCAAAUAGGGGUAGUUUGAACUUUUUUCCCCUUUUCAUAAAAAAUUAAAUGUUCAGUCGUGAAAUAAAUUAGUGAGUCAAAAGCUAAUCAAAUAGCCUUGAUCUCCGAAAAAUGACGCGACAGAAAUGGCGACUUCACUGGGGACACCCCCUAAAGAGGGUUGAGCCUAACUUGGCCUUAUUUAAUUCUCUAUGCUAUAACUUGCUUAAAACAAAAAAAAAAAACAAAAACAAAAAAACAAAAAGAUGGAAAUAGUUGUAUAUAUCUUCUCUUUUCUUUCUCCUCUUUUCUCUUAAACAUGAGUGGUGAGAUAAAGCCCUACACCCAGGUUUGAGAGAAACAUAAGAUAGGACGGUGGUAUAACCAAAGUGCCUUUCCGAGAGUCAAGUCUCGUGUUUAGGUUCAUGUGGUAUAACCCCACUCAAUGGAGGGAUCUUGAAAGUAAUUUGUGUUGGCAUGAAUAGUCGUGUUGGCAUUAUAUUUUCAAGUGACCGUCGAAGUUGAGAACCUUUAGUUACCCUUAACCCAUCUUAGCCUUUUAGGACGUAGUGCGGUGGCUAAUCAAGAGUAGUCUUGAAUUAGUUGAUACGCGAUACUACACUCAAACGAAACUUUCAUACGAAUCUUAUUGGAUCAAGAGUAGUCUUGUAACUCGAUAAUAUUCGGAAGUGGUUAAUGACUUUGGGAACUUGGUAGAACCCGUGAUACAGGUACAAAUGAAACCAUAGUCCUUACCAAAUGGCAUUGUUACUCUAAGCUCCAACAUUGUGGACCUAACCUCACCAUGCAUGAUCAUGCAUACAUGCAUUCAUCCAUAAAAAACUUUUUUUUUUUUUUCAUCAAAAUAUCGAAGGACUUAGAUAAGUUUUCGUAAACAUCAAAGAUACGGUCCUUAUAAGAAGGAACACCAAGAAAUACAACUUCAAAAAUCUUAACUAAGCUUUAGCUUUUGUUAAGAACUUUUUCCUUGGUUUCGUUCUUACUUUUGAAAAGGGAACCAAUUGCAACAUCUUCACAAUUUUCAAAUAAAACAAUGUUCCUUAUCAAGUUUACAAUUACUUUGACAAGUCCUUCAAAAAAGAAACGUGUCUGUUUUUGCAUAAGCAUACAUUAUUUGCAUUCAUAGUUUCAAGUCAGAGUCUUACACUGUGUCUUUUCUACUAAAGGUCAGUCCAUCUCAAAGAGUCAUGGCAUCCUCGUCUGAAACUCACUCGCAUUUACAACACUCGAACAAUCAUGAAGAAAGGAUGAAGUUUCUCAAACAAGAAAAUCAAUUGCUCCGUGAGGAGGUGGCAGUCAUGCAAACUAAGAUGGAUGAAAUGACUGAAUUGAUGAAAGCAUUAACGGCUGCACAUAAUCAACCACCGCCUCCUCCUCCUCCUAUUAGCACUCAAGCCGAAGCAACUGUCUCUAUUUUUCCUGAAUGGACGAUACCUGUUAGUACUUCCCCAAAUUCUAGGCCAGAAGAUCGUCCUUGGAGUGUCCCUAUUUGUCUCAGUGAAGUAUUCCGCCCUAUUGCUUCUGAAACUCAGAUGCCUACUCAUCAAUAUGCAGCUCAUGUUCCUCCGCUUCCUGUAAGAGCUCCUCCAGUUGUCAUGACUUAUUCAACACCUAUGAUGCAUACCAUUCCACAAAAUGAAGAACCCAUCUUCCAUUCAGGGAACAUGGAGCCCAAUGAUAGAAUGAAUGACUUACGGGAAAAAUAUGAUGAAAUGCAUCGAGAAAUGAGGGCUCUCCGUGGGAAAGAAAAAUUUGGAAAGACCACUUAUGAUCUCUGUUUGGUGCCGAAUGUCCAGAUACCUCACAAGUUCAAGAUCCCAGAUUUUGAGAAGUAUAAAGGGAACUCCUGCCCCGAGGAACAUUUGAAAAUGUAUGUAAGAAGGAUGUAUGCAUAUGCUCGAGACGAUCAGGUCCUCAUUUGCUACUUUCAAGAAAGUCUGGCUGGUCCCGCCUCAAAAUGGUACACGAAUCUAGAGAAAACGAGAAUCCAAACUUUUCGUGAUCUAUGUGAAGCUUUUGUGGAGCAAUAUAGUUAUAACAUGGAUAUGGCGCCGGACCGAAGUGAUCUUCAGGCUAUGACUCAAGAGAGCAAGGAAACAUUCAAGGAGUAUGCCCAGCGAUGGAGGGAUACCGCUGCCCAAGUCAGCCCGCGUGUAGAAGAGAAAGAAAUGACCAAGCUCUUCUUAAAAACUCUCAAUCAGUUCUACUACAAGAAGAUGGUCGGAAGCACGCCCAAGAACUUUGCUGAGAUGGUUGGUAUGGGUGUACAAUUGGAAGAAGGAGUCCGAGAAGGACGAUUGGUCAACAAUACCCAAGAAAUUGCCGACUAGGUGGAGACAGGAUCUCUCUUGCACCUUCCAUCAAGGGGCACAAGGUCAUGACGUUGAGCACUGUUUCUCCUAGGAAAUUGAAGUCCAGAAGCUGAUCGACGACAAUGUGUUGCAUUUCGAGAAAUUGAAUCCGAGUGUGUAACUGCAAUUGGGUUGAUGUUUAUGUCUUCUCCUGCUACUCGAUUUGUCUCUAGGGAUAUGUUUGUUUGUUUACUACCUUUUCAAAAAACAUCCUUUCGUCCCGCCCGAGAUGAAAGUGAACUGGUGUAGGGCUUUUUACUUUAAGAAAUUGUCAUCAUUAAUAAAAAGGUCGUUUUGAUCCCGCCUUUACUUUCAUUUUGUGCUUUUUCUUGGAAAAAUGGUAAUACAAAAAACCCAAAAAAUAAUUAAUCAUUCACAAAUAUCUGCAUAAUCAUAACUUUUGUUUACUUGUCAAAAUCAACAAUAAAUCAUGCAUUAAUAAACCCGUUGAACACAUUUACCAUGUACUCUCUUCCAACUUUGAGUUCCUUGUAUCCGAAGCUGAAAGAGGCAUGAAUGAAGAGACUCAUGACAAGAUCUCUCGCCUACUGGGGCAUCUAGCCAUCAAAGCUACCAAACAAAAAUCAUGAAGAUAAUCCAGAAGAUGGCACUCACUUGCAAAGACUAGUUCGAGGUGCUACCAUUCGCUUUGCUCGGAUAUCGUGCUUCAGUACACAUUUCAACAGGGGCAUCCCCCCUCUUUCCCUCAAGUAUACAACAGGGAGGUGAUGCUUCCCGCACGAUCAAAGUCCCAACAAUAGGAGUUAUGUCAAAGUCCAAGCUUGAACAAACUUAAAAUGCAUGACGACCUUGUACAAUCAUGUCAAGAAAGUUUGAAAACAAACUUCCAACAAGAGGGUUCGUCCCCGUGGAAUUCAAGAAUGAGACUUUGUGCUCAAAAGGAUACUAUAUUUCCAAUCAGACUCCAGGGGCAAGUGGACGCCUAACUAUGAAGGAUCGCGUGCAAUAACUUCUCCAACCAUGGAUGACAAACUCGCACUUCCUAUGAAUGCCGGUGCGGUCAAGAAAUACUUUGUCAAAAAUAAUAAAGCUCGAUAAGUCGCAAACCUUAAAGUACGGCUUAGGCAAAAAUGAGCGUCUCGGUGGACUGAAAACCCAAAAGGGCGGUCCGGGCAAAAGUUAGAGACAUGAACAAAAACGAUUAUCCUGAUAGAUUGAAAACCCGAAAGGGCGAUCUAUGCAAAAGUUAAGGAUCAAAAAGACAAAGUAACUGCAUCCGGUCAAGCACAAUCCACUUGGGGCAUCCAGCUAUCAAAAGACCUCCGACUCGAAGCAUCUGCAGAUCAAAGACUCGGAACAGGGGCAUUCAAAGUUGUUAGGGAGAAUAAUGGUUACUGUGUUCAAUGUACCCUCCCCAUUACAUUUACCAUUUUUCCAAAAUUUUCAAAAAAUCCGUGGAGCCAUGCCCUUGGCAGGUCACCACUCAAUUCAUCAAACUUGAGCCUGUGCCCAUUUAUUUGGAACUCUCAUUUAUUCUAUUUGCAUAAUUUCUUCUUAAAGCAAAAAAAUUUCAAAAUACAAAACUUUUUUUUUUUUUUUUUUUUUUACAUCUCUUGAAAAGUGUGAACAACAAACACAUUCUCUUUGAACUCGUGAGUAAGUGAAGUAUACAUCAGCAUCCGCCUCGAUAACGGUUACACUCCGGAAGAGAAACAUGACUAAGUACUAUGGAGAGGUCCUAUACUUUGAACAAAAUGUUGUCACAGUCAAAAAAUACAAAAAAAAAUAAUACAAAGAAGCUCGCUAAGUUGAAAACCUGAAAAGGCGACUUAGGCAACAGAGAGCGUCCCGGUGGACUGAAAACCCGAAAGGGCGGUCCAGGCAAAAAUUAGGGGCAAAACAAAAAAUAUAUUCCCGGUGGACUGAAAACCCGAAAGGGCGGUCCAGGCAAAAAUUAGGGAUUUUUCUUAAUAAAACAAAAGGUAUGACUGCUGAAGCAUACCAAUGGAAGGACACUCUGUGCCGGUUUACAAAUGGCGACUUCUUCCAGACUUCUUUCAUCGACAAUGGGCUCACCCCCCAGGAGGCAUCGGUGGCUACCUAGUGCCAGGUUCUUACACCAUCAACGGCUCGAUUUGCUCACAAUAAUAUCAUCUCCAAGGAAGGUUGCCGAGUGUUUGUAAUGCAAUGUCGGUCCGACUCCCAUCUUACCUGUCUUGUCUCGGUUCAUCGAUUCACGUGUCAUGUACAUUCAUAUAUCCAUACAUUCAUACAAUCAUGCAUUCACCAAUAUUUUCACAUAAAUCAUACGUUUACGCGUACACGACAUAUGCAUAACAUCAAUUCACACAUAAUUGCAUCAGUCAAAGCUUACCAUUGUGUCAAGCCGCAAGUUUCUACGAAUGAAUGUCAAUUUCAAUUUCAAAUUCAAAAGUGUCAUCCCCGGAAAAGCCGUGCUAGUUAUGUCACUAAUCAAUGUCAAUUUCAAUUUCAAAUUCAAAAGUGUCAUCCCCGGCGUAAAGCCAUGCUAGUUAUGUCACUAAUCAAUGUCAAUUUCAAUUUCAAAUUUCAAAGGUGUCAUACCCGGCGAAAAACCGUGCUAAGUCAUGUCACUAAUCAAUGUCAAUUUCAAUUUUAGUUUCGAAGUGACAUCCCCGGCAGAAGGCCGUACUAGUCAUGGCGCUAGUUGAUCUCGAUGUCAACUUCAACUUUAAGUAUCAUCCCCAGCAUAGCUGUUCUAGAGAUGUCACCAAUCCAAACUUUUCAAGCGACCGAUUCCAACAAACGAAUAGCCUAUGUCAGUUUUUUUCCCUUUCGAGCAACCGGUUCCAACAAACGAACAACUCAUGUCAAUCUCUUAUCUUUAUGCCCAGCGACCGAUUCCAACAAACGAAUAGCCUAUGCCAAUGUCUUUUACCUUCCGAGCAACUAGUUCCAACAAACGAACAACUCAUGUCAAUCUUUUAUCUUUAUGCUCAGCGACCAGUUCCAACCAACGAACAGCCUGUGACAAGUGGCCAAUUUCAACCAACAAAAAGCUUGUAUCCUUCUAUUAUUUCAUUUUCAAAACCAAGUCCACAAAUGGACAUUGGAGUCUGAACCAUUGCACUUUGUUUCGAGAUGUCGAGACAAUGAGGAACAACCAUUUUCCCCAGUGAAACCAGAUUCCCCAGUAAAGUCGGAUCCCUUUCUUCGAAGAAUUUGGGUAUCCUAGUGUCUUUUCACUCCAGUCGAGCCAUCAUUGUCAUCAUGCAUUCAUAAUUAAAUCAUGAGCAUUCAUAAACCUCUUAGGUCAAAAAUUGGUGCACUUUUGUAUUUAAGUCUCUUCGGCUCGUCGAGUCAAAGAUUUUACCUUCGAAUCUCUGAGCGAAGAAACUUAAAUAGGGGCAUCUGUCAUACCCCAAAUUUUGACCUAAGGUCACACUGACACACGUCUCCGAACUCGGACCAGACUCACAUUUCAGUGAAAAAUUCGGCAGGGAGGUAUUUUGAAAUACCUCAUAAAAUUCCGAAUCGGGCCCUCUUCUCUCAGUCUAAAAUUAUUUCCAUCUUUUAAAUUUUUAUUUUAACUUUAGUCUAAAUUUAGAUUAAAUUUCUUUUAUUCCCAUUUUAAAUUUUCCUUUUUAUCCUUUUUAAAACCAAAAAUAUAGACAUUAUCCUUUUAUUAUUAAUUUUUCUUUUUAAUUAAGUCCCAAAAUUGUCCAAUGAUAAGUCCAACAAAAUAGUCCAAAUUCAGAUAAGCAGUCUCUCAUCUCAAUCCUUAUACACGUUCUGUUCCUUUUUCAUCCCAAUCCAAAUCCAGUUCACGCCUCAUCUGAAACAAAUCCAGUAAAAACAGACGCGUUUCCCUUUUUCUCCUCCACAAGCCACUGCUUUUUUGCUCAUCAGUAACAAACCCUAGCCUCAACCUCACUCUAUAAAUAGAGACCUGCACAACAAAGAAAAACGGAAAAAACAGAGGACAGCAGAACGCAGCAGAACAUACGAAAAAACAGAAAGAAACAGCAGAGAAGCCAAGACAACAACAACAGCACACACACACGCACAACAACACACACACGCCACAACAGCACACACACGCACAACAGCACACACACGGACAGCAACUCACACACAAAAGGGGGUAGACGGUGACGAAUUUGAACCAGUCACAACACGGAAUUGCAAACGACACGGACACCAUCAGAAUCGUAAUCAAGAGGAAGAAUCGGAAACAAGCAGAUCCGGGACCAGAAUCGGAACAUAGCACGAAAAAGGUAGUUUUUUUAAUUGUUCACGUUUUCUUUUAGAUCCAGGCUUAGUGUUUUGGUUUGAGGAGAUUUUGGCUUUAGAAACAUCAAUAGGAAGGAGAGAGGGAUAUAAAGAGCGAAAAAAAAUAAAAAAAGGGGAGCUUUUUAGCUCCGGCGCGGCGGCGCAGCCGCGAUGGCUCGCCGGCCACCGCGCCGGAAUUCCCCCGGCCACCCCAUCUCCAACCGGAGAAGAAGAGAGAGAACAGAGAGUUUAGAGAGAGAAGGGGACGGAAGAGAGAGAAGGAGGGAGAAGAAAUGAAGGAAUUAGGGUUUACAACCCUUAUAUAUCCCCAAACCGGGUCGCCCAUGACCCAUGACCCGCGACCCGUUUCGUUUCCUUAAAGCCCAAUUCUUUUUUUUUUUGCUUUCUGCACACCCCUGUUUACUACUGCACCCCACCUUGUGUUUGGACUUUUUUUUUAUUUUUAUUUUUUCCUUAUUCGUAUUUAUUUAUUUUUUAGCAUUUUAAUUUUUAUUGCAGACCUUAGAAUGCAAAUAGUACAAAACUACAAAAACAUUUUUCAUAAUAAACCUUGAUCCAAAUCAAGUGACCGCAUUUUUAUUUUCUUUUCUUAAUCAAACAUCAAUCAAUUUAAUUCUACCUUGAGUUUAUUUUCAUUUAAAUUAAAAAACACAAACAAAUUCUUAUUUGCCACUUGGCUUUUCCUUUUAAAACCUUUUUCAAAACUAAUAAAAAACAUACAACCAAUCAAACGUCAAUUUCUACUCCGAACUACGAGGUUUUGAUCCCUCACGGGUACGUAGGCAGAGGACCAUGUCCUUCCAAAUCAAUAAAAAAUGUAGAUAAAUUAGGUCUCACUUUCUUUUUCUUUUAAUCAUCACAUUAACUUCUUUUUUUCAAAAGCAAGCAAGUUAUAGCACAUUAAAUUAAAUAAAACCAAGAGGUUCCCGUAGAGUACUACGGACAUAGAGGGUGCUAAUACCUUCCCUUUAUGUAACUAACCCCCGAACCCUAAAUCUUUUCAAAUAGGGGUAGUUUGAACUUUUUUCCCCUUUUCAUAAAAAAUUAAAUGUUCAGUCGUGAAAUAAAUUAGUGAGUCAAAAGCUAAUCAAAUAGCCUUGAUCUCCGAAAAAUGACGCGACAAUACAGCUUCGUGAGAACAAGCAUAAGGAAGGUCUUGGCUUCUCCCCAACUUCAGGAGUUUCCACCGGGGCAUUCUGUAGUGCUGGGUUUGUCAACGCAAUCACAGAAGAAGCAACUGGAUUUGGCCCGAGGCCUGUAUUUGUUACACCAGGAGGCAUUGCGAGAGAUUGGGAUGCCAUUGACAUUCCCUCAAUCAUGCAUGUUUCUGAGUAAUAUACCUUGUUGCUUAAGUAUCUUGUUUUUUCAAAAUAACAAUCCUCUCGCUCUGCCCAAAGCGAGGGUGAUAUUUUCUGUAAGGGCAUGUUUGUUUCGGCAUUGCCGUUGAUUAAUAAAAAAUUGUCGUUUCUUUCACGACUGCUUUUUUUAGUACCAUUUUUCCUUGGAAAUAAUGGUAAUGCCAGAAAAAACCAAAACAUCUGUAUUUUCUUAUUAAUUUCAAAAAUCUGCAUAAAAACCCUCUUUCUAAAAUCAUCCAACCAUUUUACGCAGAUUGAACUAUAAUAAACCCGUUGGGCACAGUAACCCUGCAUUCCCUCCAAAUUUUGAAUUCCCCGUGUAUGAAGCCGAAGAUGAGAAGGGUGAUGACAUACCAUAUGAGAUCACUCGGCUACUUGAGCAAGAAAAGAAAGCCAUUCAGCCUCACCAGGAAGAGAUUGAGCUCAUCAACAUAGGUACCGAGGAGAACAAGCGAGAGAUCAAGAUCGGUGCUGCUCUAGAGGAAGGGGUUAAAAAGAAGAUCAUCCAACUCCUCCGGGAAUAUCCGGAUAUUUUUGCAUGGUCGUAUGAAGAUAUGCCAGGUCUAGAUCCUAUGAUUGUGGAGCAUCGGAUCCCCACCAAGCCUGAAUGUCCUCCCGUCAGGCAGAAAUUGAGAAGGACUCAUCCAGAUAUGGCUCUCAAGAUUAAGAGCGAGGUUCAAAAACAGAUUGAUGUGGGCUUCCUCAUGACAGUUGAGUACCCUGAAUGGGUUGCCAAUAUUGUACCUGUGCCAAAGAAGGAUGGUAAAGUCCGGAUGUGUGUUGACUUCAGAGACCUGAACAAAGCCAGUCCGAAAGACAACUUUCCAUUACCUCAUAUUGAUGUGCUUGUUGAUAAUACUGCUCAGUCUAAGGUGUUUUCCUUCAUGGACGGUUUCUCCGGUUACAAUCAGAUCAAAAUGUCUCCUGAAGAUAGAGAAAAGACGUCUUUUAUCACUCCAUGGGGUACUUUCUGCUACAAAGUGAUGCCGUUCGGCCUAAUAAAUGCUGGUGCUACCUACCAAAGAGGGAUGACUACUCUGUUUCAUGACAUGAUUCACAAAGAAGUCGAAGUAUAUGUGGAUGAUAUGAUUGUGAAGUCAACAGAUGAGGAGCAACAUGUUGAAUAUUUGACAAAGAUGUUUGAAAGGUUGAGAAAAUACAAGCUUCGAUUGAAUCCCAACAAAUGUACAUUCGGCGUCAGAUCCGGGAAGUUAUUAGGCUUCAUUGUCAGCCAAAAGGGCAUUGAAGUCGAUCCUGAUAAAGUUCGGGCCAUCCAAGAAAUGCCAGCUCCACAGACUGAGAAGCAAGUCAGAGGUUUCCUCGGGCGUUUGAAUUACAUCUCCCGAUUCAUAUCUCACAUGACCGCAACCUGCGGGCCGAUCUUCAAGCUACUCAGAAAGAAUCAGCCUAUUGUAUGGAAUGAUGAAUGCCAAGAAGCUUUUGAUAGCAUCAAGAAUUACCUGCUGAAACCACCUAUCCUUGUCCCACCCGUGGAAGGAAGGCCCUUGAUUAUGUAUUUGGCAGUAUUUGAUGAAUCCAUGGGAUGCGUACUUGGUCAACAAGAUGAGACUGGAAAGAAAGAACAUGCUAUCUACUAUCUAAGCAAGAAGUUCACCGAUUGUGAAACUCGGUAUACAAUGCUUGAGAAGACUUGUUGUGCUCUGGCUUGGGCCGCUAAACGCCUGCGUCAUUAUUUGGUGAAUCAUACAACUUGGUUGAUAUCCAGAAUGGAUCCGAUAAAGUAUAUCUUUGAGAAAGCUGCUGUUACUGGGAAGAUUGCACGUUGGCAGAUGCUUUUGUCUGAAUAUGAUAUUGUGUUCAAAACUCAAAAGGCAAUCAAAGGUAGCAUUCUCGCCGAUCAUCUUGCUUACCAACCUCUUGAUGAUUACCAACCAAUUGAGUUCGAUUUCCCCGAUGAAGAGAUCAUGUAUUUAAAAUCAAAAGACUGCGAAGAACCGUUGAUUGAAGAAGGUCCAGAUCCCAAUAGCAAGUGGGGUUUAGUCUUUUGAUGGUGCUGUCAAUGCUUAUGGUAAAGGAAUUGGGGCAGUCAUUGUAUCCCCGCAGGGGCAUCACAUUCCUUUUACCGCCCGAAUUUUGUUCGAAUGUACCAACAAUAUGGCUGAGUAUGAAGCAUGUAUCUUUGGGAUCGAGGAAGCAAUUGACAUGAGAAUCAAACACCUCGACAUCUAUGGAGAUUCUGCGCUCGUCAUCAAUCAGAUAAAGGGUGAAUGGGAGACCCACCAUGCUAAGUUGAUUCCUUAUCGUGAUUAUGCGAGACGUUUGCUGACAUAUUUUACAAAGGUUGAGCUGCACCAUAUUCCUCGUGAUGAGAACCAAAUGGCUGAUGCUCUUGCUACUCUAUCCUCCAUGUUUCGAGUAAACCAUUGGAAUGAUGUGCCAUUAAUCAAAGUGCAACGCCUUGAAAGACCUUCACAUGUGUUUGCUAUUGGGGAUGUGAUCGAUCAGGCUGGUGAAAAUGUGGUUGACUAUAAACCCUGGUACUACGACAUCAAACAGUUCUUGCUGAGCCGUGAGUAUCCGCCGGGUGCUUCCAAACAAGACAAGAAGACCUUGAGAAGAUUGGCCAGUAGAUUCCUGUUAGAUGGAGAUAUUUUGUACAAGAGAAACUAUGACAUGGUAUUGUUAAGAUGUGUUGAUGAACAUGAAGCGGAGUAGUUAAUGCAUGAUGUACAUGACGGUACCUUCGGGACCCAUGCUACAGGACAUACUAUGUCAAGGAAGUUGUUACGAGCAGGUUACUACUGGAUGGCCAUGGAGUAUGAUUGCUACCAGUACGCCAGAAAGUGCCACAAAUGUCAAAUCUAUGCUGAUAAGAUUCAUGUGCCUCCGCACGCUCUCAAUGUUAUUUCAUCCCCAUGGCCGUUCUCAAUGUGGGGCAUCGACAUGAUUGGAAGAAUUGAACCGAAGGCUUCAAAUGGUCAUCGUUUCAUCUUAGUGGCAAUUGACUACUUCACCAAGUGGGUUGAAGCAGCAUCUUAUACCAAUGUGACCAAGCAAGUGGUAGCUAAGUUUAUCAAGAACAACAUCAUAUGUCGAUAUGGUGUCCCCAGCAAGAUUAUUACCGACAAUGGUACCAACCUGAACAACAAUGUGGUGCAAGCUCUUUGUGAAGAAUUCAAAAUUGAGCAUCAUAAUUCUUCUCCCUAUAGACCUCAGAUGAAUGGUGCAGUUGAGGCCGCCAACAAGAAUAUCAAGAGAAUUGUCCAGAAGAUGGUAACCACUUACAAGGACUGGCAUGAGAUGUUACCCUAUGCUCUGCAUGGCUACCGUACUACUGUGCGCAGUUCAACCGGGGCAACCCCUUUCUCUCUUGUAUAUGGUAUGGAAGCAGUUCUUCCUUUGGAAGUGGAGAUCCCAUCCCUCCGUGUGAUCAUGGAAGCAAAGUUAUCUGAGGCUGAAUGGUGUCAAAGCCGGUAUGAUCAGUUGAAUUUGAUUGAGGAAAAACGUAUGGAUGCCAUGGCUCGUGGACAGUCAUAUCAAGCAAGAAUGAAGACUGCUUUUGACAAGAAAGUCCAUCCUCGAGAAUUCAAGGUAGGGGAACUUGUAUUGAAAAGGAGGGUAAGCCAGCAACCCGACCCAAGGGGCAAGUGGACGCCUAACUAUGAAGGUCCUUAUGUUGUCAAGAAGGCCUUCUCCGGUGGUGCUUUAAUCCUUACACACAUGGAUGGCGUAGAACUUCCAAAUCCAGUGAAUGCCGAUAUAGUCAAGAAAUACUUUGCCUAGAAACAUGAAAAGAACAGCGUGGUAGGUCGAAAACCCGAAAGGGCGGCCUAGGCAAAAAUGCGCUUCCCGGUGGAUCGAAAACCCGAAAGGGCGGUCCAGGCAAAAAUAAGGGACAAAAAAUAUAUAUGAAAAGCUCGCUGAGAUUGUACACAACUCAGGCAAGAAUGAGCGUCUCGAUGAGCCGAAAACCCGGAAGGGCGGUUCAUGCAAAAAUGAGAUUGAAACAAAAGGCAAGUAACUAUAUCUGGCUAACCACCGUCCCCCUUGGGGCAUCUGCAGCUGUUAAUGACUAUCUUCAUCAAAAGCUCCUACGCUUGCAAAUUCAAAGUUUCUAGGAAAUGUAAUGAUUACUGUGUUCAAUGUACCACCAACCAAUAAAAAUUACCAUUUUCCAAGCUUUGUAAAUCCGUGGAGUCACGCCUUCGGCUGACCACCACUCUUAUACGUCAAUUUGAGCCUUUGCUUUUGUUUGAAAACUCUAUUUUUCUUCUACUUUCAAAGCUAUAUACAAAACAUUUUCCUUCUAUUUUUAAUAAUGACAAAGGCUCGAAACAAACAUCUUGAAAAUUGAAAAAGUUUUUUUGAAAAGCAAACCUGAGCAACAGGGUACAUUCAAAUGAACAUGCAUGAGCGAGUGUGUGUUGGUGUCUAUUUCAAUAUAUGUUACAAGCAGGCUCUUCCCCAGGAUGGUCUGUGGUCAAUGGCAAGAAUGGAAAAAACAGAAUGAAAAUGCAUGAAAAUGAAUAGGCUCGCUAAGUUGAAAACCCGAAAGGGCGGCUUAGGCAAAAAUGAGCACCCCGCUGGAUUGACAACCCGAAAGGGCAGUUCAGGCAAAAAUGGGGCAUUAAAAAUUUAUUUCCCCGGUGGAUCGAAAACCCGAAAGGGCGAUCCAGGCAAAAAUGGGAUGCAAAAAAUGAAUGAAUGAAAAUUGAGAAAAUAACAUGCAAAAAGCAUUGACCACAGAUGCGACGUCCACGAUACAUCCGGCAUUAUUCCCAGUAGAGUCUCCCAAGAUUCUAUCCCCAGCAAGUUGCAUAGCUACCUGCCCUCAGCCAUGGUUCCGACACGUCUCCCAACGACGUCAUCUCCAAAGAGGAUUUCCAAGAAUGUGUAAUAUAGCACGAGCCACUACGUGCCCAAUACUCCAAUGUCUUGUCUGUCUCUGCGAAACUGUGUCUACAAAUCGCCAACAGUCAUGCAUUACAAGCAUUCAUACAUACAUAAUCAUGCAUAUUACGUGCCCAUGCAUUUAAUGAAAUUGUUAUAUCAUUCAUGCAUGUUGCAUUUCCAAUGUCAACAUCAGUCUCAAUUCAAUACUCAUGUCGGGUUCUCUGUCAAAACCUUGUGAGCCUAUAAUAUUGGUCAAUUUCUACCUUUCAAAUCAAAUCGACGCCAAGUCAAUUUCAACCUAUGUUGUCAAAAAAACUAAUCCCCUGUGAAUUUGUUUUUGUUCGGUCAAGUGACUAGUUCAAGUCCAAGAACAGCUUGUACCUAUCAUUUUGCUUAUGUUAUCGGUCGAGUGCCCAGCUCAAUCCAAGAGCAGCUUGUACCUGUCAAUAUGUUUCUGUUUGGUCAAGUUACCAGUUCGCAUCCAAGAACGACUUGUACCCGUUUACUUUUCAAUGUUAUCGGUCGAGUUACCAGUUCGAAUCCAAGAACAGCUCGUACCUGUCUAUGUGUCUAUGAUUUUGGUCAAGUGGCUAGUUCAAGUCCAAGAACAGCUUGUACCCGUCUAUCUGUUUCUGUUCGCUCAAGUGGUUAGCUCGAUCCAAGAGCAGCUUGCGCCUGUCUAUUUUGUCUUUGUCUCCGGUGGAGUAACCAGUUCGCAUCCAAGAACAAGCUCGCACCUGUCUAUUUGCCUUGCUUUCAGUCGAGUGACUAGUUCAAAUCAAGAACAACUCGUACUUGUCUAUUUGCCUUUGCUUUCAGUCGAGUGACCAGUUCGAAUCAAGAACAACUCGUACCUGUCUACCUUUUCUAUGUCCCCGGUCGAGUGACCAGUUCGAAUCCAAGAACAACUCGCACCUGUUUGUCUGCUUUUAUCCCCGGUCAAGUGCCCAGCUCAAUCCAAGCGCAGCUUGUACCCGUCAAUUUGUUCCUAGUCUCCUAUCUACCCUGUUAUCUGUUAACUUACCAAUGUCUACCAAUCCCGCAAUGGAUACGACAUCUUUUGUUAAUUCCAGCUUUCGUUUGUCUCGCACUCAUAAUCCAAAUGUUGCAUGGCAUUCAUGAUAUUUGAAAAUGUACAAGCGUAUUUUUACGUCCAAACACAGUGCAAAUGUUAAUAUUUAAGUAUCUUCGUCCCGUCAAGCCAAAGACUCCGUCUCUUGACCCUCCAGACAAAGAAACUUAAAUAGGGGCAGCUGUUAUACCCUGAUUUUGGACCUAAAAAUACUCGUUCAAAUUUCUUUUUUAACACUAAUAUUUGUCAAUUCUCUGUUAUUUUACUCUGAAUCUUUACUCUCUUUUUAAACGUAUUAUACUGCCUCUGUCUUUUCUGACAUUACAAGUCAUUUAAGAACUCUCUGAAAUGUCGCGUUACUUUUCUUGCACUUUAUUUCAAAAAAUCAUACAAAAGGGUAUUUUGGUCAUUUCCUGCAGUGGAACCCAUUUUUGUCCCUGUAUUUGUCUCUAAGUCUCUUCAACUUGUCUGUACAAAUCAUCGUUGAUUCUUUGUUAAAAAUCAUUUCAAAAUCGCAUCUGAGUCAAUUUGGGUCAGUUUAGUCCCUAGGGGCAUUUUGGUCUUUUCCUGUCAAAAUUUUGACAGGGAGGUAUUUUGAAAUACCUCAUGUCAGUAUUUGGUUCGUUUUAGUCCUUUUGUUGAUUUUAUUUUAGGUUUCACUUUACGUUUUGUCAGGUUACCCAUUUUAUUCCAAUUUUAUUUUUAUUUUUAUUUUGCAUUUUGGUCCUCAAAGAAGUCCAAAAUUGCUUUUCAGUCCAGAACUUUUUAUUUUACAUUUCAGUCCUUUUUGGUUAAUUGCAGUUUAGUCCUUAAGUUUUUAUUUUUGCAGAAAGGUCCCAAAUUCAUUUCAAGUCCAAGGCCGUGCCAUUUUCAUACAAGUCCAGGUGUCACCUUUUCAUUGGGUCUCAAGUACACAUGUCAGAUUAUAAAUAGUGCACAGUGCCACACAAAGCCAUUAAUCACACGCCAACUCAACAAACACAAUCAAGCUUUCUCUCUCCUUUCUGUUAGGAUCAAAAGGUCAAAAAUUCCCAAGAACACGAAGAACAUAAACCCUAAUUUUCUGCAGAAAUCAUAGAAAUUCAUCAGAAAUCAACGAAUUUCACAUCAAUCCUCAGAGAUUCGUGUGAACCUUCAUCACUGGAUUGGAGAUUUCCCUACAAUUCCAAGUGCGAGCUCACAUUGAAGCAAGCUCAAGCACUGAUCACAGGAAUUCUCACGUGGAUCUAAGAAGCAAGAAGCAAGCUCAAGCACGUAAUCACAGAGAAAGAAUCGGAGAAGAUGAAGAAACCAAGCCAGUAAACCGAUUUAUUUUCGGUUCAAAAAGCAACCAGAAAUCAUCAAGAACAAAUCGAAGUUUUCCGAAGAAACUCAGCAGAAUCUCCAUCAAAACUCAGGUAAAACUCAUUUUUUCUCUUUAAUGGCGUUAAUCAUAGUUGAACCUGCAUGCAAACGAACAAACCAGAUCUAAAAAGUUUCCAGAACAGAAAACGAACUGAACCGUAUGCGCAAGAUCUAGAUCCAUAAGGACUUAGACUUUGCAAGCAAGAACAAGCACCAGAGAAGUAACAAACACGAAACGAUGUAGAUCCUUAAGAGUUUGAACGUACUCAUUCAAAACCCUAAAAAAAAAUAAUUUCAAAACCGUAUGAAAAUUCUCCGAUCUACGUCGUUUCAGGCUUUGUUUGUGAAAAUCAAUGUCAGAUUCGUGUUUAGGGUUUAAAAACGAACAAGAAAAUGUAAAAAAAUUUGAAUUCUGGGUGUUUUGCUCGUCGGAACCCUAACUUCUCACCGGAGAAGAUGAAGUUUCCGGUGGAACCUUCAUCUUCUCCGGCCAACAACCACCGGAGAAGGGAGGAGAGAGGUGAGAGGUCUGAGAGAAGAGAGAAGUUUAGAGAGAGAGAGAGAUGAAAGAAAUGAAUUGGACCGGUGUCCAUAUGCUUAUAUAGACGCCUGAACCGGUCCGGUUCAUUUUGUUUUCAUCCUGGACCGUAGGAUUUAGGGUUUUGUUAUUUGAAUGGCUGUGAUGCUUUGUUUCCAUGUGCUUGAUCUGUGUUACCAUGCGCUGCUUGUUUUGAACCGUCAGAUCUAGGUCUGGAUCAAUCUAACGCCUCUGAGGCCUUUGGAUGAUCCAGGCCCAGUCUGCAUUGGGUUUUGGGUUGGGUUUAAGGUUCCUUUUACGUUUUUACCUUUUUCUUGCUAUCUGUACCCCUACUUUUUGCUAUCUGAACCUGUUUCUUGCUCACAUAUUUUUACAAAAAAAUUCCUAAAAAUCCUAGGUGUUUCUUGAUACAUUUUUGGUAUUUUUAUGGUGUUUUGCAUGUAAAAAAAAUGGUAAAAUGGCAUGAAUUAAUUCCCAUGUGUUUUUAUAUUUUUGGUAUUCUAUUGGUUAUGUUUUUUUGUUCUUGACACUUUGAUAUGUGACAUGGAUGAUUGAUAUACAAUAUUGUGAUGAAUAUGCCUCUGAUCAUGUGUCCUUUUUGCUGUUUUUGGAUAUGAUUUUGUAAAUUUCUUGUUUUGCAAACAAUAAGUGUUUGUCUUAAGGAAUAAAGUGUCAAAUUUCUCUAUGAAUUUGGUGUGAUACUUUGCUUGCAUAUGUCUCUAUUAAUUUCAUGUCAUGGCUUGAAACAAAAUCUCUUUCAAAAUUGCCAUGAUGUGAGAAUUAUGGGUCACAAGCACAUUUAGGUAUCAUAUCAAAUUUUUUAGGUUUUUACCACUUUAUUACUUUCCUUUUUUGCCGUUCUUAUGCAAUUUCUUUUUGUUUAUUUCCUACUAUUUUGUGCCUUAUCAUUACUAACCAUUUCAUUUCAUGUGCCAUACAUUUCAUAAGCAUUUCACAAUUCCAUUCCUAUUCCUCAUAGUUUAGGGUUUAUCUCUUUUAUUUCAAUGUUACUUUGGCAUGUAAUAUUUUAGAUAGUUUUAAUUUCUUUUAAGAUUUUUGCAAGACCAUAGAAUGUAUCUAGGACAAUGUAAAGGACUAUGGACUCUCUAAUAAUGUACACCGACACUCGCACACACGUUGCAUGAUUAUCGAUUUAGGUAUAUGUUUAGGAAUUCGACGCCUAGUGAAAUUUCUCCUUCGAAAUAGGCUAAAUUUUCCAAACAAACUUUGGUGUCAAAACUCCAAUGCCUUUUUGUGAAAUAAAAAUAAAGAUCAAAUUCGACAUUUUUCUUCUAUGCCUUACGGCUUCUCUCCUCCUUUUCAAAAAUCAUUUUCCAAGUAAAAUAAAAACCUCAAUCAUCUUCUCCCCUCAUUCUUCACUCAAAUAAAAUAUCUUCUUUUCAAUAAGUAGGCAAUAAAAAAUAAAGCGUAGAAAUAAGCUUAGGAGAACGGUUCUUAUGGAGUACCAUAAUCGCUCCGGGUGCCUAACACCUUCCCGUAGCGAAAACGACCCCCGAACUUAGAAUCUAAGGGUUUUUUCUCAAUUUUGCCCUUCCCAAGAAAAAAUAGAGAAUAUCAAAGAUUGAAAGGUUCAAGCCAAAUUAAUGACUUGACACCCGAAAAUCGCGAUAACAAUAACCUAUUGAGCAUUAGUCAAUUUUGUGACAAUGGGUAUGAUGUAAUGUUCAGUAAGACCAACUGCACACUAGUCAACAAGGAUGACAAAUCCAUUACAUUCAAGGGAAAGAGAGUUGAGAAUAUCUAUAAAAUAAAUUUCUCUGAUCUGGCUGAUCAGAAGGUAGUUUGCCUUCUGUCAAUGAAUGAUAAAAAAUGGGUAUGGCAUAAAAGGUUGGGACAUGCUAAUUGGAGAUUAAUUUCUAAAAUUAGCAAGUUACAACUGGUCAAAGGAUUGCCUAACAUUGAUUAUCAUUCAGAUGCACUUUGUGGUGCAUGUCAGAAAGGGAAAAUUGUGAAAAGUUCUUUCAAAUCUAAAGACAUUGUAUCAACCUCCAGACCCUUAGAAUUACUCCAUAUUGAUCUUUUUGGUCCAGUUAACACUGCAUCUUUAUAUGGAAGUAAAUAUGGAUUAGUCAUUGUUGAUGAUUACAGCAGAUGGACUUGGGUAAAAUUCAUUAAAAGUAAAGACUAUGCAUGUGAAGUGUUUAGCAGCUUCUGCACUCAAAUACAAUCUGAAAAAGAAUUGAAAAUUUUGAAAGUCAGAAGUGAUCAUGGUGGAGAAUUUGAAAAUGAGCCAUUUGAACUUUUUUGUGAAAAACAUGGGAUUCUCCAUGAGUUUUCUUCUCCUAGAACUCCACAACAAAAUGAGGUUGUAGAGAGAAAGAACAGAACCUUACAAGAAAUGGCCAGAACCAUGAUCCAUGAAAACAACUUAGCUAAACAUUUCUGGGCAGAAGCAGUUAAUACUUCAUGUUAUAUUCAAAAUAGGAUCUAUAUCAGACCUAUGUUGGAGAAAACAGCAUAUGAACUCUUUAAAGGAAGAAGACCCAAUAUCUCUUACUUUCAUCAGUUUGGAUGUACUUGUUACAUCUUAAACACUAAAGACUAUCUGAAGAAAUUUGAUGCCAAGGCUCAAAGAGGAAUCUUUUUAGGUUACUCUGAAAGGUCAAAGGCGUACAGAGUGUAUAAUUCAGAAACACAUUGUGUUGAAGAAUCUAUGCACGUAAAAUUUGAUGAUAGAGAGCCUGGAAGUAAAACUCCAGAGCAAAGUGAAAGUAAUGCAGGUACAACUGAUUCUGAAGAUGCAUCAGAAUCUGAUCAACCUUCUGAUUCUGAAAAGUAUACAGAAGUUGAAUCUAGUCCAGAAGCUGAAAUCACUCCAGAAGCUGAGUCUAAUUCAGAAGCAGAACCUAGUCCAAUAGUACAGAAUGAAAGUGCUUCUGAGGAUUUUCAAGAUAACACUCAGCAGGUUAUUCAACCUAAAUUCAAGCACAAAUCUUCACAUCCUGAGGAGCUAAUCAUUGGAAGCAAAGAUAGUCCUAGAAGAACAAGAUCACAUUUCAGACAAGAAGAGUCAUUAAUAGGAUUGCUUUCAAUAAUUGAGCCUAAAACUGUUGAAGAAGCUCUCUCAGAUGAUGGAUGGAUAUUAGCUAUGCAAGAAGAGCUAAAUCAAUUCCAAAGGAAUGAUGUUUGGGAUCUGGUACCCAAACCUUUUCAGAAGAACAUUAUUGGAACAAAAUAGGUAUUCAGAAACAAGCUGAAUGAACAAGGAGAAGUAACCAGAAACAAAGCCAGACUUGUUGCUCAAGGCUACAGUCAACAAGAAGGCAUUGAUUACACUGAAACAUUUGCUCCAGUUGCAAGAUUGGAAGCAAUCAGGUUACUUCUAUCCUACGCAAUUAAUCAUGGCAUAAUAUUAUAUCAAAUGGAUGUCAAAAGUGCUUUUCUUAAUGGUGUCAUUGAAGAAGAAGUGUAUGUUAAACAACCUCCUGGGUUUGAGGAUCUUAAGCAUCCUGACCAUGUUUAUAAACUUAAGAAAUCACUAUAUGGCUUGAAACAAGCUCCCAGAGCUUGGUAUGAUAGACUAAGUAAUUUCUUAAUUAAAAAUGAUUUUGAAAGAGGACAAGUUGACACAACACUCUUCAGAAGGACUCUUAAGAAAGACAUUUUGAUUGUACAAAUAUAUGUUGAUGAUAUAAUAUUUGGUUCUACUAAUGCAUCUCUUUGCAAAGAAUUUUCUAAGUUAAUGCAGGAUGAAUUUGAAAUGAGCAUGAUGGGAGAAUUGAAAUUCUUUCUUGGAAUUCAAAUCAACCAAAGUAAAGAAGGAGUAUAUGUUCAUCAAACAAAAUAUACAAAGGAGCUUCUGAAGAAGUUCAAGCUAGAAGAUUGUAAAGUGAUGAACACUCCAAUGCAUCCAACCUGCACCUUAAGCAAAGAAGAUACUGGAACAGUAGUAGACCAGAAGCUAUACAGAGGUAUGAUUGGUUCUCUGUUAUACCUCACUGCAUCUAGACCUGAUAUUUUAUUCAGUGUAUGCUUGUGUGCAAGAUUUCAAUCAGAUCCUAGAGAAUCUCAUUUAACUGCAGUUAAGAGAAUCUUCAGGUAUCUGAAAGGAACAACUAAUCUUGGACUCCUGUAUAGGAAAUCCCUAGAUUAUAAGUUGAUUGGAUUCUGUGAUGCUGGUGACAGGAUUGAAAGAAAAUCAACCAGUGGAAAUUGUCAAUUCCUGGGAGAGAAUCUGAUAUCUUGGGCAAGCAAAAGACAAGCAACUAUUGCUAUGUCUACAGCAGAAGCAGAAUACAUUUCAGCUGCAAGUUGUUGCACACAACUACUUUGGAUGAAACAUCAGUUGGAAGACUAUCAGAUUAAUGCUAACAGUAUUCCCAUCUAUUGUGAUAAUACUGCUGCUAUUUGUUUGUCAAAGAAUCCAAUUCUACAUUCAAGAGCCAAGCAUAUUGAAAUCAAACACCAUUUUAUCAGAGACUAUGUUCAAAAAGGGAUUUUAGAUAUACAAUUCAUUGAUACUGAACAUCAAUGGGCUGAUAUAUUUACAAAACCUUUAUCUGUUGAAAGAUUUGAUUUUAUUAAGAAAAAUUUGAACAUGCAUUUUGUGUCUGAUUGAAAAAUUGCUUGCCUCUGAAUAAGAAGUUUGGUUCUGAAGUCUAUUCAGAAGCAUCUGGUCCAUCAGAAGCUCUUAAAUGAGGUUCUGAGGAAAACGUGCUUCUGAAGAUGACGUCAGCGCUAAGACUUCAGAAGCGGUAUUCUUUGCUUCUGAAUAGCAAGGUUAGUGGGAACGUUGGCAGUUACUUUUUGUAACAGCUGUCCCAUUACCCAAAAGGUAGUUUUCUGAAGAGUCUCUGACGUGGUCUAUUUGUAUUGGAGUAUAACAAAAAGGGCAAUGAUGUUUUACUUGCUUUUUAACAUACUAACACGCGCCCCCAAUUUGUCAUUAAUGCUAUGUUUGUUUGUCUCUUCUGAAUUACAAACGUUUUACUUAAAAACACUAAGUCAAUUCACACACUACUCACUUCACAACAAACACUUUCUAUUUUCUUCUCAACCCUCUGCGAAAGUAAGCGCAUUCACUCUUCCUCUCAAAACACCGUAGAACCCUAAAACUCAUUCAAAUCAAUGGAAAGCUCAAGUUCUGCUGGUGGUUCAUCAUCAAAUAUGGAAAUAGAUAUUCCAGCCUAUGAGAUUAAAGGAAGAACCAUGUCUAUUGAAGAAUGGGAGUUAAUCAUUCAAGCAGAAAAUCCAGUGGAUUUCGCCUCCUUAACUCACCAUGGAUGCGACCUAGUAAGAUUCUACAAGAAGCAAAAGCUGAUGAACUACUUCAGUCUUCUCAAUGGUCCAACUUAUGAAGUUCUGGUCAGACAAUUCUGGGUAAGGGCUUCAGUCUUUGACAUUGAAGCUGCUAGGCAGGAAGAAGCUCAACUAAUUCUGGUUGAUCCUACUCUAAAGGGAAAAACCAGAGAAGAAAUGGGUCUACUCUCCUUCACCGGCACAGAGAUUAGAUCAAAUGUCAUGGGUAUUCCUGUAACCAUAAAUGAGCAGGUUAUUGCUCAAGCCAUGGGAAGGGAUACCUCUGGCAAAUACUUUGGAGAAGAGAUUCCUAAUCCAAGAACCAGCUCUUGGAAGGAAAUUGUCAAUGAGACCAUUUAUGGGUCUAAGGUUGCUCAACCUUACAGCACUUUGAGCAUUGAGAAGAAGUUGCUGCUGAAGAUUCAGAAUGAAAACAUCUUUCCUAAAGGUGGAGGAAAUGAUCAACCUUCUCUUGGUCACAAGGUUUUUCUACAUCACACCAUCACUCAAGAGACCACAAUGAAUGUUCCUAAGUACAUGUUCAAGUACAUGAUCAAGGAACUAAAGAAGAGUCAGAUGGAAAACAGAAAGUUUGUUCCUUAUGGAAGGCUACUCUCUGUAAUCUUUCAAGAAGGAGGACUUCUAAGUGCCUUGAAGGAUGUUGGCAUCUAUGAUAACCAGAAGCUGGGAGCAGUAACUGGGAAGAUAAUCAAUGCAUCAACACUUGUGAAGAUGAAAUUGAUUCCAGCAAAUGCUCACAAGAAACUAGAUUCUGAUAUGCAUGAAUCUGAUGCAAUAUCUGAUCUAAUCACUCAUCACAUCCCUAUCUGCAAGAAGGAUCCUCUGGAUGUGCAAAGGGCCUACAUCUUGGACUUCUACAAGACUUACAAGAAGAAGAUCAGCUUGAAAGAUGUCCCUGAGGAGAUGUAUGGUGGUGAUCUGCCUGUAGCCAAAGGCAGAAAAUCAAAGAAGAAGCAGAUCACCAAGGAAGAAUAUCUUGCUGAAGAUGCUACUGAGAAGGGUGCUCAGAAGCAUCAGAAAGCUAAGAAGGAAAAAUCUACCUUGUCCACUAUUCAAGAGGAAGUGGAGAACUUAGAUGAAGUUCCAAUCAUCAGAAAAAGGACAAGGAAUGCUCAAGAAACGGCAGAACAGCUUGCUUCUGAACAACCUGCUUCUGAACAAGCUGCAUCUGAAGAGCCUCAGAGUCCUAAGAAGAAAAGAGAAGCUGCUCUUCAAACCAUCAAAAGGAAGAGAUCUUCAAGAAAUUUGAAGACAGCUGAAGGACGAAGGGAGGAAAUGUUGGAAGAGCUUCAAGAAAACUGGGAUGAAGACUCAAGUCCCAAGAAGGCAAAAAGGACUAUAACUUCUGAGACAAUAGUCAUGCCUAGUUUUGAAGCUUCUGAGGAAUUAAAGCAAUAUGCUAGGGAGUAUUCUGCAUCCAAGAUAGCAGAAAGGAAAAGGAUGAAGGAAUUGUAUGAGAAGCAAAGGGAUGAGCGUCUCAAGGCUGCAGGGUAUGUGCCUACUCCUGUCAUUGCUGCUUUAGCAUCUGAGUUAGAGCAAGAAACAGUUAAGUAUGGAGCAACUCUGCUUUCACAAGCCUUGAAGAAUAAGCAAGCUUCAUGAGCCACUUCAUCAGAACCAGUUUCAAAAGCUCCAGAAGCAGUUCAUCCAGAAGCUCAAUCUUCAGGUAAUUCAUCCAAACCUGACAUCUAUACUCAGAUUCCAUCUCUACCCUUUUCACCCUCAUCAUCAUCAACUGAAUCAGAUGACCAACCCCUUAGCCAACACAUAGACAAACUUCUUAGAACCAAACCCACCAAACUAACAGAAUUUGGAACACUUGAUUAUGAGCAAACUCAAAUAGAAUUUUCUAAGAAUAGGAUUAAACUUUGUGAGAAAUUCAAUUUGCCUACUACUCAUCCACUCUAUCCAGAAAUUCCAGAACCUGUUAGUGUACAACAACCUCAACCCAACCAAGAACCUAACCAAACAAACCCACAAAAUGACCAAACUCCACAAAGAGCCUCUGAAGUAGUUUCAGAAGCAACUACUUCAGAAAUCCCCCAACAACAAGAAUCCUCAACCCUUCAUAAUUUAGAAAAACACUUAGGUGGUGAAAUGCAACCUACACCCACAAAGGCCUCUAAGACAGUCCCUGGAAUGACCGUGUUAGAAAACCAACAAACAGAAACCAUCCCUGAGCAAACUGUUCCUGAACAAACUGUUCCUGAACAAGCUGCUUCUGAACAAGUUGCUUCUGAACAAGUUGCUCCUGACCAUCAAACAACAGAACAACAACAACCAAAACCACCAAUCAUUGACCUAACCUCUUCUGACCAACAAACAGCCUCUGACCAACCCUCCGCAUCUCAUACAACUCAAUCUGAACCUUCAACCAUCCCUGACUCUAUCCUUGAAUCUGAGUAUAUAGAUGAACAGCUAAUCAGGCUUAGUGAUGAGAUUCAGACACUGAUUCUUCGCAGAACAGUUCCUGUACCUCCUAUUCACUAUCUUGAUCAAUGGAUGGAUCUAAAAAAGAGUUUUGAUGACCUGCUGGAUCAGCUAAGCUCUAAGUGUGUCUCAUCUCACUCUGCCAUGCUGCAAAAGAUGUUGGAUGAUAUGCAUGAAGCAGCUAGAGUGAAAGAGCUGAAUUACGUGCCUCUGCUGGACAUCACUCCUUUCUAUCCAGAAGAAGAGUACAUCACAAGGGCUGCAAGAAUUCAUGCUGGGUAUAAAAGAAGAAUGAGAGAAAAGGAUGAGCUACUUAAGCAGAAGGAUGAACAAAUUAAGUAUCUCUUGGAACAGAUGUACAAGCAAGCCCAACCUUAGUUGCACACCAAUUUUUUUUGCUUGCUUUAAUCUUUGUUCUAAGUACUUUAGUUGCACUGCUUUUGUAUCUUAAUUUCUCUAUAUAUAUAUAUUAUCCUUGUUUCUGGAUCUUGUGCUUUUUCACCUUCAAUAUAUUUUUACAAGCUUUAACUCUGAUAAUAUUUACUGUUUUUAAUGCUGCUUGCUCUGAUAUACUAUUUUUUAAAGGUUAUAUGUUUAUUCUUUUGUUUUAUUUGCUCUGAUACUCUUUCUUUUGUUUUUAUUCUUUUUGUUGAUGACAAAAGGGGGAGUAAAUGUAUAGCAUUUUAAGGCACUGAGCCCCACUAUAACCACUCCUAAACUUUUUUAAAUACUUAUGAUAUUAUUUUUAUGAGUAUUUUAUUGAAAUUUAAUUAAUAAGAAUAGAACUCAGGGGGAGCUUACAAACCUCACCUUAAAGAUCUAUUAGACUCAGGGGGAGUUUACAAACCUCUAUCCCAGUGGUCAACUUAUUAAUUAGAUCAACAACAAUUGAACAUUUUAAAUACUAUUGUUUGUCAUCAUCAAAAAGGGGGAGAUUGUUGGAACAAAAUGUGUUUCACAAUGAACCUUAUUAAGUUUUGAUGAUAACAAGGUAUUAAAAAUUGUCAAUUGGUUAUUACUAAUAAUUGUUCAAGUGUACAGGACCAAAAGGCUACUCAAGUUAUUUCAAUAGGUCUUGGAAGAACAAUGGAAAGAAAAAAGAAAUUCUGAGCAUCUGAAGAAAACUGCUCCUGAAGCUGAAGUGCUUCUGAAGUGAUGACGUCAUCAGAAGCAGAAAGUCAUCAGAAGCAAAAGUUUUCAUCAGAAGCAAUAUCUUCACCAGAAGCUACGUUUGAUCCUUUAAUCAAACUGAAGAUUCAAAGUAGCUGAUUCUCAAUUCAGUCUUAUCCAAGAAGAACGAAGAAUUGAAAGGGAGGUAUCAACGGAUAUAUGGAUAGCACUGAGCACUUGUCUCUCGUUAAUAGAGUUGACAAAGUACAAGUGUACAACCACUACCUCCACUACUCUGUUUUCUGUCUACGCUACAAGACAAAACAACAGCCAUGCCUGCAGAAUUUGUACGUUCAAGAUGGGAAUGAAUUUGAAGCUUAUUCUUCAAAGGACUACACCCAAAUCAGGCAAAGGAUCACUGGUGGAUAAUCAAAGGAUUUCAAACGACUCUUUAGACGUGCUGAUUAUCUCAACGUCUCUUUCACGCCUCUAUAUAAAGGAGUGAAGACUUGAAGAUUAUACAUAGAGAUACAUAAAUUCAAAAGCGCCAAAACUCUGUCAAUUUGAUUCUACAAAGCACACUGAAUUUCUGCACUGAUUUGAUACAUCUUAGAAAUUCAAAGUCUAGAGUCUUUACUGUAUUGUAUUGUGAACACCACUGAUUGUAUAUCAAGUGUUCAACUCAAACUCAAUUCUCUGUAUUUUUGUUUGAUUAGAAGUCUCUUGCCUGCGUGCUUGAGCAUUAGAAGUCUCUUGCUUAGUGCUUGAGCAUUGGAAGACUCUUGCGUGUGUGCUUGAGCAUUUUUGUGAAGUCUCAUACUUAGAAAGUAUUGAGCAGUUGUAAUCUUUGUGAUUAUAGUGAAAUCUCCUUGGAAGUGCAAGGGGGACUGGACUACUUCCGUGUUGUGGAAGGAACCAGGAUAACUGCUUGUGUCUUUGUCUUUCUUUUCUCUGCUCUGUUCUUUUCUGCUGCAAUCUGACUCUGAUCAUUUCAUCAGAAGCAAUCAAACUGCUUCUGAAGUUUUAUCAGAAGAAGUAUUUUUUAAGAGAAAAAGAAAACACAAUUCAACCCCCCCCCCCCCCCCCCCCCCCCUCUUGUGUUUUUCACCUUCAAAUAGAUGAUUAUAGGAUCUAAUAAUAUUAAGGGUCUAGAUGGUAGGAUCAAGAAGACAAAGGUACGAGACUUCAUUGCAUAUAACCAUCUUGAUUUUCGUUGUGAUACAUGAAACUAAGUUAGAUCAAAUUUCAUAUGCUCUAAUUUAUUUACCUUUGAUAGAAUUCUUUUUGUGAUUGGAGUUUCACUCCGUCGGUUGACAUAAUGUUGGGAUUAUGUCUAUUUGAUGUAAAACCAACUUGACUUUAGUCUUCUCUUUUUGGAGCCCCGACUAUAUGGGGAUGUGCCUAGAUUAGGGGAGAAAAGGGUAAUGUGGGAUCAUAUGAUGAGUACUUUUAAUGCUUUGGGGGUAUUUGGUUGGUGUGUCUUUGGUGAUUUUAACUCAGUCUAGGAGGAGUGCGAGCAGAGGGUCGUUCUUCAUAUCUUAGGAGUGGGGACACGAUUUAGAUCACGGUCACGGAGUUUGCUAAUUUUGUUUCCCAAAUCGGUCUCUUUGAUCUACCCCUCCUUUGAAGGCAAUUUUUGGGGUUCCAACCUCAUGGAACCGCAAUGAGUUGCUUGGAUUGUAUUCUGAUAUUUGUUAAAGUCAUUGCUUUUGAAAAUAAUUCUGAACUAGUUUCUUGAUCAGCUCAUAUUGGCUUUGCAGUGCUUGAAGCUUCACCUUCUUUGACUUGUCAUGACCACCUUAUGCUUUAUUAAGAGUAUCCCAAACACCUUUUGUGGUUUCUUGAUAAACUAUCUUUUCAAAGAUAUUGGGAUCAACACUUGAAUGAAUUAGGAACAAGCCUUUUCCAUCCGUCUUCUUUUGCUCUCAAUUGGCAGAUCUUUGUGCAUCACCAGCAUUAUCUGGCAAAUCUAGAACACAUCUUGAAAUCAUUCACAUUCACGAUUUCAAACACAUCUUGAAAUCUGAAUAUGACUUUCAUUUUAGGACACCACUUGUCACAUUUCUGACCUUUGAAGAUGGGAAGAUUUGCAGGAAAAAUGUCCAUUGUUUGUGGAAUUCGCCAUUGUUGAAAAUUAAAAUUGUUGUAUCCAAGAUCGAAUCAAUUGUUACACCAGUUUGUUGGAACACUUGAUGGUUUUGAAGAAGGGGAAAUGUGGUAAAAGGAGAAAAUGUGUGCUAUGUGAAAGAAUCAAAAGUUUUUAUUUAUUAACAAUUGUACAAUUAACAUCCGUUGAGAUUACUUAUAUCCGAAAUAGCUCAACUAACUCUAAAACAAACUAGUUGCUUGGCUAACACGUUACAGACUCAACUAACUAUAUCUAAUGGUUAAUUGUCCAACAUUGAAUUACAUCACAAAAGUUAGCACAUGUUAUUUGAAAGGACAAAACUUAUGCACAGUUUCAUACCUGCUGUUUUUGCUAUUUUCAAAUCAAAACGUGACAUCUGUACAACUUAUCCACGUCAGCUAACGUAGUGAAAACGGCGUGAAGUUCUUAACGUUUCCAGCAAAUCCCUUUUUUAGGAGCACUACACAACCACCGUCCCCAUGCGCUAACAACAUAAACUGGCAAGGAGAGAAUCUAAAAGAGCAAGGUAAAGAAUUGAUGGAGAUGCACAUAAAGAGUAAGAGGAAUGGGUUGGAAUUUUGAUUGAAGAUGUUAAAUACAUUGAUUUUAUGUAUUUAUCUCUAUUUUUCUCAAUAAAGAAAUAGCUUGAGGCAUCAACUUUAAUCUAUGUGACAAUAGACAAAAUCCAAACUUGGUUUGGAAUGUUGUACAAUCAAACAAAAUUGUUACUCUUAAUCAAUCUCCAACUUAAUAGUCUCCACUGUUUAUAUAGUGGUUUGUUCCUAUGAGUUAAUGAAUCGCAGACUCAAUUACAACCACAAUACAAUUUCUCACCAACAAGUGAUAACCAACAUCGAUUAUUGGAAAGAUGAAAGAAGGCAUUAAAAUGAAUUUGACCAAAUUGUAUUAGAAGGAUCGUAUGCUUUUGACUAUGGAUUAUGUGUGGUGCUCGUCAAAAACGAGUUGCGAUUGAUUAUAGGGAAACAAUAAAAAUUUCACACCGUUUCACUUCUUCAGGUGACGUGGAUAAAUUGUACAGAUGUCAUGUUUUAAUUUGAAAACAGCAAAAACUGUAGGUAUGGAACUGUGCAUAAGUUUUGUCCUAUUUGAAAUAAUUCAAAAUCCCAUUAUUGAUGAAAUUAGAGUUAAAUAUGUUUUUGGUCCCUAUAAAUGUACCAACUUUUCGUUUUAGUCCCUCUAAAAUUUUCCUUCAACUUUUAGUCCCUAUAAAAUUUUCAAUCACUACUUUCGGUCCCUAUUUUUAAGUUAAUUUUAGUUUUUUUUUUUUAAUGAAAUUAUGCAUAAAUGUGUAGAAUAUUGUAAAAAUAUUUCCCAAAAAAAUUUAGAAUUUUUUAACAAAACAUAAAUUUAAUAUGAAUUUUUAACCAUAAAAUAUAUAAAAUUCAUAUUAAAUUCAUGUUUUGUUAAAAAAAUUUAAAUUUUUUUGGGAGAGCUUCUUAUAAUAUUAUGAAUUUUUCUUGCAAAAUUUUAUUAAAAAAUAUGAAUUCUACAUAUGAGUUUACUUUAAAGGAGGGACCAAAAAUGAAGAUGGAAAAUUUUAGAGGGACUAAAAGUUGAAGGAAAAUUUUAGAGGGACUAAAACGAAAAGUUGGUAUAUUUAUAGGGACCAAGAUCAUAUUUAACCCAUGAAAUUAAUACCAAAAUAAAAUUCUACUACGAUUUUUAAGUUUGGAUAUUUUUGAAGCUCUUCAAAAUUGUUGCAAUUGGAAGGUUUAAAUCUUUUAUGGCUUCCAUGGCAUGGAUUGCACCAUGGUAGUCAAAAUCACGAUCCAACUCGUGGGAUCGUACGAUUUUGCAAUCUUGUUACCCCUUGACGUGCUUGAGUGUGGCCGGAAUCAGAAUAUGGUGGGUGUAACAGCCUGAUUUUCACUAGAUUUAUUUUAAUUGUUUUAAUAUGUGUUUUUAUAUGCUUUUAUGUGAUUAAUUGCCUCUGUGUGUAUUUUUGAUUGGGAUUAUUAGAAUUUGGUAUACGAAGGGUAUUUUGGUCAUUUUGUGAGUAAGGGUAAAUUAGUAAUUUUUGGUGGAGAAUAUUUUUGUUACUAUUUAGUAAGAACCAUUAUUUUACUAAGUUACUAGUGUGGUAAAUAGUUGUGAGCCGGUAAGUGACCGUUGUUAGUAUUUUACCGUUAAGUGUGUAGAAACAUUUUAGAAUUGUGAUUGAGUGGAUUAAGUCCACUAAGGCAUUAGGGUUAAACUCAUUUGAGAAUAGCCUAUAUAAACCUUUUCUUAAGAGAAAAUAGCAUUCAUUUUUCAUUUCAUAAGAUUUUUAGAGAGAGGUAGAGAGAGAAAGUGCGAGAGAAGAGGAAAAGGGUUAGAAGAAAGGAGUCUUGAAGACCUAAGAGGUGGUGGAGAUUCUAGGAGCUAAAUUGAAGCUUGUGUUAGGAUUUUUGCUAACUAAGGUAAGAGGGUUAGAAUUCAACCAUAAUCAAUUAGUUGUAAUUUUUCAUUAAAUGCUUAAUUGGAUAAGUGAUUAUUUGUUCAUAGUUAUUGAAAUUUGUUAUACCCUGUUUUUGGACCUAAAAAUACUGGGCCCAAUUUCAUUUCAAACUUUGUCAAUUAUUAAAUUUCAACUGCACAGUUCAAAUUGUCUCUGCCUCGCAGUAUUUUCAACCACAAUUUCAUCUAUGUUUUUCUUGCAUAAAACCUUUUGAAAUGUCUUUACUUGUCUUAUAAGUCAUUCAAAAGUGUCUAUGGAUCAUUACAUUACUUUUACCACAGUUUAUUUCAAAAUUUGCAAAAAGUCAUACAGAAGGGUACUUUGGUCAUUUCUUGCAGUGGGACCCAUUUUCAUCCUUGUGACUGUCUCUGAGUCUUUUCAGAUUGUUUUUUUACAUUUCAUCAGUAAACCUUGUUAAAUUCAUUUCAAACUUGCAUCUGAGUCAGUGUCAAGUCAAUUUGAAUCUGUUUAGGCCCUAGGGGCAUUUUGGUCAUUUCACACAAAAUUUUGGCAUAGAGAGGUUACUUUGAAGUACCUCAUUUGGGCCAUUGGUUCGUUUUAGUCCGUUUUGUCAAUUUUAUUUUAGUUUCACUUUACGUUUUGUCAGGUUACCAAUUUUAUUCCAAUUUUAUUUUUUUUAUUUUACAUUUUGGUCCCCAAAGAGGUCCAAAAUUGCGUAUCAGUCCAGAACUUUCUUUUUUUUACAUUUCAGUCCUUUUUGGGUUAUUUGCAGUUUAGUCCUUAAAGUUUUUGUUUUUGCAGAAAAGUCCAAAGUUCAUUUCAGGACCAAGGCCGUGCCACUUUGAUACAAGUCCAGAUGUCACAAUUCCAUUGGCUCAAGUGUACACAUGUCAGCUAUAAAUACAUUGAGUCAGAAUCAGAAGCAAUAAUUACACGCCACAUCACAAACAGAAACCACAAUCUCUCUCCUUUCAGUUACAGAUCAAAAUCAUCAAGUUCAUCAAGAACACAAGAACCCUAAAAAUUUCCAGAACCAAAAAUUCAUACACAAAUUCAUUGAUUUUCACAUCAAUCCUCAGAGAUUCGUGUGAAUCUUCAUCACUGGAUUGAAGAAUUCUCCUACAAUUCAAAGUGCGAGCUCACAUUGAAGCAAGCUCAAGCACUGAUCAUAGGGAUCUCCUUUUUUCACGCAGAAUCUAAGAAGCAUUGAAGCAAGCUCAAGCACGUAAUCACUGAGAGAGAAGCAGAGAAAGAAUCGGAGAAGAUGAAGAAACAGAACCGGUAAACCGAUUUAUUUUCGGUCCAAAAAGCAAGCAGAAGAGUCAAAAAUCAUCAAGAACAUUCAAGUUUUUCCAAAUAUUUUCCUCCAUUAAAAGUUUCAACCAAAACUUCAGGUAAAACUCAUUUCCUCUCUCAGAAAGUGUUAAUCACAGUUAAACCUGUAAAAUCACGCGAGCAAGCAUAUCAAAAAAAUUUCCAGAAUUCAAAGAAAACCGUAACCGUAAGCACGAAACCUAGAUCCAUAAGGAUCUAAGUUUUGAAAGCAAGAACGAGUACCAGAAAAGUAAUCCAACGACGAAACGAUGUAGAUCUUUAAAGAUCUAAACGUUUUUGUUCAAAAAUCAAAAAUCAUUUCAAAACCGUAUAAAGUAUUUUCAAGAUCUACGUUGUUCCAAGCUGUAUUUGAAAAAAUAAUUGCUGGAUUCGUGUUUAGGGAUAAAGGACGAAUCAAAAGAAGUAAGAAUCUUUGAAAUCUGGAAAUUUAGGUCACCGGAAACUGCAUGAACUCGCCGGAGAAGAUGAAGUUUCCGGCGGACCUUCAAGGUCUCCGCCGUAGCUUCAUCCUCGCCGGCGGCGAGGUUAGAGAGAGGUGAGAGAUGAGAGAAGAGAGAAGAGUUAGAGAGAGAAAGGAUUUUAAAAAAUGAAAUAAACCGGUGCUCUUCUGUUUUUAUAAGCCAGCGAACCGGACCGGUCCAGUCCGGUCCAUUCUCCUUUGAUUCCUGGCCGUUUGAUCUAGGGUUUCAGAAUCCUGGAUCAAUCGUGUGGUUCCUGUGCAUCCGGAUCUUUUAGGUUUGGGCUUGGGCUUGUUUCUUUUGGUUUUCUGCGUUUUUUUGCUUUUUUGUGCUAUUUACACUACCUUUUUUUGCUAUUUGCACCUGUUACUUGCCUACUUUUUUUAUAAAAAAUUCCUAAAAAAUCCUAGUUGUUUCUUAAUGUAUUUUUGGUAUUUCUAUGGUAUUUUUGCAUGUAAAAAAAAUGGUAAAAUGGCAUGAACUAAUUUCCAUGUAUUUUUACACUUUUGGUAUACUUUUUGCUAUGUUUUUGUUCUUGAUACUUUGAUAUGUGUUAUGAAUAAAUGAUACCCUAUCUUGUGAUGAAUAUGCCUCUGGACAUGUGCUUCUUUUUGCUGUUUUUGAAUAUGAUUUUAUGGAUUUCUUGUUUUACAAGCAACAAGUGUUUGUUUUAAAGAAUAAAGUGUCAAAUUUCUCUAUGAAUUUGGUGUGAUACUUUGCUUGCAUGUGUCUCCAUUAAUUUCAUGUCAUGGCUUGAAACAAAAUCUCUUUCAAAGUUGCUAUGAUGUGAUGAUUAUGGGUUACAAGUACCUUUAAGUAUCAUAUCAAAUUUUUUAGGUUUAUUACCACUUUAUAACUUUCUUUUGCUUUUCCUAUGCAAUUUCUUUUUGUUUAUUUCCUACUAUUUUGUGCUUUGUGAUUACUAACCAUUUCAUCUCAUGUGUCAUAUAUUUCAUAGCAUUCCACCACCCCCUUCACUUUCUUUAGCCUAGCAUUUAUUUUUGCAAGUUUUAAUUCAUUUUGGGGUGUAAUUUGUUAUCAUUGGUUUGUAGCUUGGCAAAGGGGCCAUAGAAUGUAUUUAGGCAAUUUUUGUAAUAUGUACUAUGGACACUAUGACGCACCGGCACGCACACACUCACCCUAGAUGUAUGCCUAAGAUUGUAUGUGUAGAUGUAUGGCUAGGAUUGCAUGUUUAGAUGAAUGCUUAGGUUUAAACACUUAGAGAAAAAUCCAACUUUUUCCAAAACAUGCAAAUAACCUCACUUGAAAACCUUUUUGAAAAUAAAAUAGGAGUCAAAACUCCUUAUUUCCCUUUUAUUUUCCUAAGUAAAAUUUCUAAUAAAUCUUAACUAUACUUGGACUUCAUUUUGAAAAAGUUAAUUCCACCUCACUUUUUUCCAAUCUCAUGCCCUCGAGGCCUCUCAUCUCUAUUCUUCAAAAUCUCUUUUCAAACUUAAAAUCAACCAACAAAAACAAAAACCAUUUUUGAGAAUGAACUACAAAUGGUUUUGAUCCCUAAAAAGGGUACGUAGGCAAUGAGUCAAAACUCCUCCAAGCCGAAAUAAAAUCAAAUUCUACUUCUUCUCACCCCCAUUCUUAACUAAUCACACCUUCAUUUUUUACAAAUAAGCAAUAAAACUAAAGCGUAGAAAUAAACUUAGGAGAGCGGUUCUUAUGGAAUACCAUAAUCGCUCCGGGUGCCUAACACCUUCCCGUAGCGAAAACGACCCCCGAAUCUAGAACUUUUUAAGGGUUUUUCUCCUUUUACCCUUCCCAAGAAAAAAGAGAGAUAUCAACGGUCGAAAGGUUCAAGUCCAAUUAAUGGCUUGGCACCCCAAAACCAUGAUAACAAAAUUCGUGCUCUAAUUAUGGUGAUAUGUUUGAAUACAUGAAAUUGGUGAUAAUUGAAUUGUUGUUGGUGAAAUUACAUGUUCAUAGUAUGUGAAAAUGAUAUAUUGUGAAUUGUGCUCUAAAUGUUGAAUUGUGCUAUGUUGUUGUCGAAUUAUGAUGUGGAUCAUGUUUAAUUGAUGUUGUUGUUGCUAAGAAAUAUUGUUGUUGAUGAUUCAUGGCUUGGGUGUUCAUAAAUCAUGAUUUGAUGAUGAGAAUUAAGUUGUUGUUGUUGGUUUUGUAAAAAUGGGUUGAUUUAUUGAAUUAUGUUCAAAUGUCAAUUGUUUUCAUGUUUAAUGUGUUCUUGGGAACCCUUUUAGUUGUUUUGACCUAUAAACAAACUUUGGAAACAUAUUUGGGCAUUGGGAGAUCAAAAUUGGAAAUUUUGUGUGAAAAAGGGUUCAAACCCGUAAUUUUUUUCUGCAGAACUAUGACUGUUCGCUUAAGCGAACAAUCACAGUAGGUUUUAUGACUGGGUCGCUUAAGCGAACCGGAAGCAAACAACAAGCGAACUUUUGUUGUAGCUUCUGGAACUUGUUCGCUUAAGCAAACUUGCAUAGUUUUAGCAACCUUUGAUUUUUCGUUCCGGGCUUUAAGGGGCCAAUCCGAGCUUUGUAAAAUGCUUCUUUCAACUAGUUUAACCACUAUUUGAACUUUUAAAUCUACUGGAACAUGUGUUUACUCAUUUGAAUUUUGGAUUUUCCAUUUUGGUUUGAAACUUGAAUUUUUGGUGAUUUGAUGAUUUCGGACUUUUGUCGAAAUGAACUUUUGUGAACUAACUGAGAUUACAAGUUUGGUCUACAGUUCAUAUAGACUUAGGCAAGACUUGUAAAGUUGGUUAAAUGUCUUAAUCAUGUCAAACUUGAUAUUUCGGGUGGGAAUGUGGAAAAUGUGAACUUGGGUUUUCUCAUACGAACUUAAGUUAUACUUUGAACUAAUAUCUAAUAGUUUGUAAGUGGCUUAAGCUUAUGACUACAUGAUUGAUUAAGAUUGAUUUGUGAGUUUUCAAACUUAAAUAAGUUAUCUUAUUUUGAAAAUUAUCAAUGUUGAUCGUUUGCCACUUGAUACGGAUUUUGCCGAAAAUGAUUCUUUAAGGCCAAUUACUUUACAUUCCUUUGUGAUUAGUUGUAUAUGUUUGAAUGUAGAUAUGUGAGUAAUGGUAAUUGUUAGAGGUGAUAUUUAACACAAGGUGUUGUAUUUUCCAUUUUACUUGGAUGGUGAUAAAUUGUGCAAAGUUGAUGAAUUAUAGAAUAUAGUUGAAGUUGAUUAUUGAAUAUAUGUUGAUGAAUUGUGAUAUUUGGUGAUGACUCUUAAUUGAAUAAUGACAUGUUGAUUGUGUGGAUGUAAAUGUUUUAUAAUGCAAUUGUUGUUGAAGUUGAACGAUGUAAUUGGAGGUGUACUUUUAUAUUGUGUUGGCAUAUGUAUAUGUUUAGUAGUUUGCAUUAUUGAGUCUUUGCUUAUGUCCAUGCAUCAUCGUCAUAUCGAGUCAUAUGAGAAAUGUAAAAGGAGGUCAUGUACUUUUACAUAGUUGUGCGUAAGAGGAGGCCGUGUACUCUUACAUAAGAUGUGCGGUUGGCAUCUUGUUGUUGUUGUUUGGUACCACAUGCAUGUAUGUGUCGGAAUUAGGCGCAUAGCAUAUUGACAUGAGUCGUAAUUUUUGCAUGUGAAUGAUAAUUGUUGAAGAUUGUGAAUGAUAAUUGUUGAUGAUAAGUGUGCUUGGUGAGUACUUGAUCGUGAUAUUUGGGAUUGUUUUGUGAAUGUGUAUAUUGAAUUAGCUGUUUAUAUGAAGUACUCGAAAUUUGAUUUAAUUCAUAUAUGCUCAAAUUUAUUUUAUUGAUUAUGAUUGAUGUAAAGCUUACCCCCAGUGGUUUUGACCGCCUACCUGUCUGUAUGGAUGGGUAGACGAAGUGCAGGGUUAGUUGCUUUGGUGAGUUGCUUGCUGGUUGCUUGGAUAGCGGGAGCUAUCUCCGUUAUCGUGUCUGUAGAGUCUAGGAUAGGCUCUGAUAUAUGUGUCUGUUUAUGAUUAUUCUAGAUUAUCUGUUGUGGACAUAUUAUGUUUUGGAGAUUUACCCAAUUGUCGGGAUUUUGGAGAAUUUUGAUGAUGAUGUAUUUUGAUAUCAUUACAUGUAUACUUCUGCGGUGUAUGGUUUAUAUUCGCUGCGACUGUUGAGGAUUUUUAUACAUGCAUGUUGUUUUGGAUUUGGUUGAUGACGCGACGUCUAUUUCUUGAAUAUUUGUAUUAUUCGCAUGUUUUAUCGCUUUAAUAGAAAUAGGGCGUUACAGUGGGCGCGGCCAGGAUCGCCGCGGAAAACCGUAGAUACGGCAGAAUCGUGCGAUUCACUGAUUCUGGUUGUCUUCCUUGAAUUUCCGGUUUGCAGGUCGGACCCGCGACCCGGUUUCAUCAAAACGUGUUUUGUGGUUUUUUUUUUUGUACAAGUUUUUUCAUUUCUUAUUCCCUGAAACGGUUCGUUUCAUUAAACCCAUUAAUUAUUUAGUCAAAAUAAUAACUGUUGUGAAAGUGACUCAAAAUUGGAGAAAUUGAAGUUUGCUGAAGCUGUCAAAAUCGGAGCACAACUUUUGGAGUAGAAUUGACACUUUCAUUCGUAAAAAAUCGGAGCACGAUCUGGCAAAAUUGGAGCACGAUUUCGCGCAGAAGAAUAAAAAUAAAACGUAUUUUUAUGGGCCUGAUUUGGUUCCAAUUUAUGAGGGAUGAUUUUACUAUAAAUAUAGACAUUGUAUCAGUGUAAAUCUUGAGAUAGAGCGGGCUGAAACAAGGAUUUAGAAAGGCAACAACAAAACUAGGGUUUGUAUAGAGUUUGUCUCUUGGCAACAAACACUAGGGGUGUGUUUGUUUCAAGUUAUAAUUGUUGAUUCCCGAGAAUAAAAUGAUAGGAAUGUAUAUGCCUAUGUUUGUUACAAGUUUACUAAAUUUUAUUCCCGGGUAUAAAAUGUUCCUUGGAAUAGAAAAAAUUUCCCAAUGAAAAUGGUGGGAAUAAAGUUCCCAUGGAGAUGGGAAUAAAUUCAUAAAUAAUUUUCCUAUUAUAAUCCCUAUUUUUAUGGUUCCUAGGAAUAUUAUAAAGCUAACCAAACAUAUUUUUCUUAAAUUCCUUGGAAUAAAAUUCCUAUCUUUAUAUUUCAAGGAAUGUUAUUCCUAGGAAUAAAUUUGAUAAACUUGAAACAAACACACCCUAGGGUUUGAGGGUUGAUUCACCUUGGGAAACACUAUUAGUGUUGAGUCUCUUGGUUACGGGAAGAGAUUGGGAUUUGGGUAGAAUUAGGCGGGAGACUUAUUCUUGUAACCCAUUGAUAUCUCUUUUGUAAAGCUACUCAUCAUUACAGUGAACGGAGGGCUGCUGUCUCCCCCCGAUUAGGUCAAUUUGGACCGAACUGGGUCAACAAAUUCUUUUGUGUUCUCUCUUCUUUCUCUCUCGCUGUUUUUUAUUUUUGACUUGUGUUUAUAAUUGUUCCAUACACUUUAUUUUGGUUGCUUGAUUAUUACUCCACACAUCAAAUUUGUUAUUAGUGUGAUUUUCAUCGAAUUCGCAACAAUAACUCAAUUUAUUGUUGAAAAUCAUUCCAAUAAACCCACUAAGCAAUAAUUGUGGAAACUUAUCAAUACACCCAUAAUUUGAGGAAACUUACCAAUGCAAUUCACCCAGAUUCAUAGCACUACUCCCUCUCUCACGUUAUUUAAAUAACCUUUUAAUACUUUGUUUUACCAAAACAAUUAAUCUGUUUUUCCUCUUCUUUUAUCUUUCAAUAAUGUGAUUUUAAACAUACAUGCAAAUAAACACAAUAAUAUUAAUGAUAAAAGAAAAUACUUUGUUAUAUUAAAUUUUAAUUAACAAGUAUACAAUUUGUUUGUUUAUUGAUCAAGUAAUUACAGUGUUUUUUUUUUACUUAUAUAUAAUAUGUUUUUCAUUUUUUAUGCUUCUACAUGAGUUUGUAUGCAUAUAUAUGUCAAUAUGUGAAUUUGGUAGAAUCUUACGAUCCGUGUUACGAUCUCCUGAUUCACGAUCUUGUGAACCCUCUCCGAUCUUGUAUAAGAUCUCAAUUUUGACUACCUUAGAUUGCACCCAUCAUUGGUGGUUUGUAGCCGGGGUCUCAGAUACCUGGAAUGAGAUUCUGUAUCCGUCAAUCAUGAGUUGGAAUUAAUUGAUCACAAUUCAGCAAUGGUUUACGUGGAUGUUACAUUUUGCAUAGUCUACGAGAGAAUUUUACUACCAAUAAUUACACAAAAAUUACUUUCAUCAAAACAUAUGACUACACAAAAGGAGAUGUUAUUUGAAAUAAUUCAAAAUCCCAUUUUUGAUGAAAUUAUAACCAAAAUAAAAUUCUACCUCGAUUAAGUUUAGAUAUUUUUGUAGCUUUUCAAAAUUAUAUGGGAAAUGUUAACUAGUGUCCCGUGGCAACUGGUUAAGGAAGCAAAUAUAGUAAUCUGGCACCAAUUACUUUUGUAGCUUAAAACUCUUUUUUUUUUAUUUCCUUAACUAAUGUCCUAGGAGAACGGUUAGCAUGACCUCGGGGGCACCAAUUAAUGCCCUAGGAGAACCGUUUUGAGAGUUUAUGAAAACAUCUUAUGACAUGUCUUGAAGUUUUCAACUUAUUGAUUAACUCUAAAGGAUAGCUUAUGACAAUAGUUUAACUUUAUUUUAUCUUUUGUUAAAGAAAUAGCAAGCAUUUGUAUGAAAAUUUAUGCAAUAAGUGCACUUAAUUAUUCUUCCAAACAAAACCUCAUUAACGAAAGAGAGACUUUGAAUAUCAAACUUUGAUCAAAAAAUUUGUUUUCUAAGUGCCUGAAAAGAAAGACAGAAUAGUGUUACUUGGCUAUCACUGAACCUCAUUUUCUCUACUAUCUUUCUCUCAAUAAAUGUCAUCAUUCAACUUCUAACAGAAAAUUACAUAUUAAUUAUGUUAUAAUCAUUACCAUAUAAAAAACUUGUGAAAGAAAUAAACAAUUAUAUCCAAAUACUCGUGAAAGAAAUAAACAAUUAUAUCCAAAUACUCGUGAAUAGGCAUGACUAUCUAUAACUGUAACCUGAACCAAAUUGUGUUCAAUCAAUGGAAUGUGAAAAGGUGGUUCAAAUUAUUGAUCUCCGUUGUGCCGAACCAGACCAAUGUAUAAAUCUUCUACAAACUUCAAAGAAAAGUCAGGGAGGUCCACACCAUCGGAAAAUUACAGGAAUUCAUGAAAAGAAAGAUGUAUUGGACCAAAUGAGCUAUCAUUUGACAACUAAAGCAGGGAAAUUGCAUUUUCCUUUACAGAUUAAUCCAACCGAAGUUGCAAACUCAAAGAUGUCAAUUUCGAAAACUUGUCUGUGGAAACAGAAUAUGCUGUUGUAAUUACUUCUGUUCUUCAGCUGCAUUCUCUCCUCGCCGCUGAUGAUGAAAUGGCUGGGAGAAUCUCACCAGCAGGACCAGCAUUUAUCAAUCUGCAGAGAGCAGUACACAUAGGUCAGAGGGAUUUCGUAAAGUGUCUCGAGAGAUAUAUGAUCAAUGCAUAUAUCUUGAGUUGUUUUAUCCAAAGUUAGCAAACAAGACGGGAAGAUGGAUGGGGUUUGUACUGUCAUAUUUCUUUCUUUUCCAAGUUUUAAUUUUUUCUGUAUAGAUUUUAUAUUUUUGUUCUCUACAUUUACUAAGUGUUACAAAGAAGGAAAACAACAUAUCCAUCUUUGUUGAAAUAUGAAAAUAAAUCUUUAAGCUGCUCUCAGAAGUAUAUUGCAUGCUGGUUGAAGGUGUAUAGAAGGAGUACUAAUACUUGCUAUUUAAUAUUGAAUAUAUUCUCCAUACUGAUUUCUGUUAAAAAAAAUAUAUCUAAUUGCUAUCAAGACUUUUUUGUUUACACAUGCAUAUCAGAUGUAGCAGCGUCAUUGUUAGAAUUCUCUGGUUGCUUUAAAAAACUUAUGUUGCUUGCCUAUUUACUGUCAUACCUUCAAACAUAAAGGCUCUCAAUUCCGCAAAAACGUCACUGUUUUCAGAAGACAUCGUCAUUCAGAUAUACUUAUACGAAUCGUGUCUCUUCUAAAAGGUUCAUAUAGGCAUGCUUUGAAAAACUAAUUCACCUAUGAACAACGAAAAAUAUGAAAGUUUAUCUAAUAAAAAUAGGACUUCAACAAUUAAAAUACUUUUAUAUCAAUAGGUAGAAUAAGUAAAAUUUGAAAAUAAAGAAUCCCAUCAGAUGGUUUUAAAUAAUUUGUGCUAAUAAUUAAUGAAGCACUUAAAUUAGAGGCUCAAGAAGCUGUAUGUUAUGCAAAACCUAUGAUGAUGAUAAUCUGUUUGGCAUAUAACAUGAAUAUAGCAGAGAAAAGUGAGAAAAUUCUUGCAGCCAGCCAAUGUUUCUGUAUAUUUUAUUUUUAAUAUGCCGGUGCUGAAUAAUAACAGCCACGAGAAAUUUGAUUAAAUCAUGGUUCAACUAUGAUUAGAAAAUACCAAAUUUCACUGAUAACAAAGUGGCAAAACUUUCAAUUUUUUAUUUACUAUAAUAUUUUCUAUAAUAUCCUCACCUUAUAAUUGGUAGACACAAGUAAUUCUCGAUCAAAUGUUUUCUGGGGAACCUGAAAUCAGAGUCAUAAGAAUAUUAAGAGACCCCGAAAAAGCAAUACAAAGUCACAAGAAUAAGAAAGAGAAGAUAAUAUGGUGAAUUAAAUUAAGAAGAAUUACAUCAUGCACAACUAGCCGCAGCGUCGACACAUUCAAAUGUGGAGCCUACAAUUGGACCAUGCAUGAGUUUUGUGGAAGUGGAAUAAACAGCUACAUACUUCUGGUUGUGUGUGAGAGCAGUGGUCAAUGGUCAUGCCAUUCAUUUGGUCAUGAAUGAGAAUGGAUGGCAACAAAAGAGAACGGUUUCAGGUCACAUGUAAGCGGUCAGAAACGCCAUUGAAACAUAUAUCACAACAACCGUGCACUGUUCAACAUAAAACACAGUAGGCUGUGCAUUAUUUUUACUAUUUAAAAGAAAAUUUACUAAUGUUUGACAAGUAUAAACAGAUUGGGAAAUGUGGUGCACCUGGCUACAAUAACAUCUCAUCUCAGCUGCCAAUCAGGAAAUUGUCACAUAAGGAAUGUGAGAAAUUGUAUGCCAACGCUCUCCUUGCUCCUUUUGGUACAACUGCUUAAUUAAUGGACAGUCAUGAAUGGACAAAGUAGAAAGGGAGAUGGGUAGACCCUCCUCUGGCAAGCUCUCAAAACAAGGACAGUCUUCAAUAUAUAGAGAUUCAAGUGAAGUGAGGUGGAGAAGACCCUUGUAGUUGAUUUUUCUUAGGUUGGAACAAUUUGUCAACUCAAGAGAGUUAAUAGUUGAUGGCAGCAUACUCUCCUCUGGAAAGGAUUCCAAGAUUUCAAAAUCAUCACUAACACUCAAUUGUUUUAAAGAUUUGAGUUGGAACAAACCCCACUCCUCUCUCGAAGCCUUUUCAAGGUGGAUGGCAAUUCAUUUAUCAAAAUGCCAUCACAUCUCUUUAGUU
rnacentral:lncRNA from 1 species